rnacentral:lncRNA from 1 species
AUAUAUAUAAAAUUGAGCUAGAAUAUUUUUAGAAGUACCAACCCCUUGGUGCUUCUAAGUUUCUAGCCCUUAUAUUUACUCCUUAAUUACUAAUAGCCUUUGGAUCAAAUACUAUUCCAUCUAUUACCAUCUAUCACCAUCAUCUCAACCAUAUAUUUCUCCAUCCAAUGACUAAAAAUUCAAAAGCAUCACUCUUUUGGUACUUUUAAGAAUAUUUUAGCUCAACUCUCUCUCUCUCUCUCUCUCUCUAUAUAUAUAUAUAUAAAGUAUUAACGGUGUUAAGUUUUCAAGAGGGUUCAUAUAUUUUUUAUCCAAGGUGUUAACUGUUAAGCGUAGCAUGUGACGUCAUAUUGAAAGAAGUAAGAUGCAUUUUAGCCAAGAUAAAAUUACACAAAUACCCUCCAGUGACUCAUAAUCUCAUAGAUGUUCUUUAAAUGUUAACGGCUUCUCCGUUGCCCUUGUACUAGUAUUAAAACAAAGUUUAAAAAAUAUAGACCAUUCCUAGUGCAAGUGGCAAAAGGCUUGGUGGUUAGUAUUUGAGAUCCCAAGUUCGAAUCCGUAUAUUUAACAGGAUUAUCUGUGAUAUUUCAAACUUUUUAAGGAUCUAUAUUCGAUAUCAAACUUGUACGGGAUAUAGUUAAAAUUAUCUACUUAAAUAAAGUAAUCAAUUCUUAGUGAGCGAGCACCUUUAGUCAAAAGCUCCAAUUCUAAUUUGUGAAAAGGACAAUAUUGAAUCAUUAAUAAAUCAGAAAGCAUGUAGUUAACUAUAAAAUUGUGGAAUGGAUCCCUUUCCAUUUAGUGGCAAGAGGUUGAUCCUCUUUUUUCUUUUCUUUUUUUUGUCCUUUCCCAACAGGGAGAACCUUGUAUCCAUAGAUACAUGGCUUCUUUAUAUAUAUUUUAGUCCAAUGAUAUUUGCAUUAACUUAGUGACAGGUUGGUAGAACCCAUUGAUGUGUGGCAUUAUAGUCCUAAGGAGGUGGUCAUGAAUCAUAAGCUUGUUUAAAAUGUCGCACAAGGGGAAAAUAAAGAAUUUAUAGUGCUUUGCUCUGUGGCCAUGAAGUCAAAGGAACAGCCAUGUGAGAUUAGAUCUCAGUAGAAGUCUUUGAGUGUUUGUGCAGCAUUCUUUUUUUCUUUUUCUUUUUUUUUGUUGGAUAAAUUAGGACCUUCCACUGAUUUAUAUAAGAUAUUUAAGGUACUUUUAUAAUUUUAUGCAUUUGUUGUGUAUCUUGUAAUUUUCCAUUUCUUUGAGAGCUUUGGAGCCACUAGUCACAAUGCGUAUUCACCAAGUUCAUAGUGGUGAUGGGAGGGUGUUCAGGCUAGGGACCUGGGAGACGACGUAAACUCCGUCUGGGAUAGGAAAGGAUUGCAGACUACGAGUAACAGCCUACCUGAAUUAGUAGCUUGCUGGUGGGUUAUUUGGAAGAUCAGGAACCACUUGAUUUUUUAGAAAGAUAUAGUCGAACCCAGUUCUUGUUGUUCAUAAGCUUAAGUAGUCGUUGAAGUUGUGGGAUCAUCUCCUCCAAGCAAAGUAGAAGGUUUUUUUUUUUUUUUUUUUUAUGGAUUUGGUAUUCUUGAGGCCCCGGAGGCCGGAUGCCUCACUCUUGUAGCUUAAUUUAUUAUUCUAAUGAAUGAAGUAGAUAGCAUGCUACUUUUUUCUCCAAAAAAAAAGAAAAAAAUUUCAUUAAUUCAUAUCAACCAAUCCACAUGGCCUUUUAAUGCAUUAGAGGAUUGCUAUAUCACAGUUUGUAAGAACGUUUAGAUGAUUUAUCUUCUUCACCAAGUGAGCUAGGGUUGCAAUUCCCAACCAAAAAAAAAAAGGGUUUUUAAGGGGGCAUCAAAUUAUUUAAAAGGGGAAUCUCAAGGACUUCAUAUUCAAUCAAUAAAGGAAAAUAUGAUCAGAAACCAGAAUCAAGUUGUGUACAGAAAAAUUAAUUAAUCUUGUAGAAUUUUCUUUGGAUUCCAGAGUUUGGCAUUGAUGGAUGGUCUCCAAUGAAGCAUAGCAAGCAUAGGUAAUGGUGCUUAAUUCAAAUUAAUACUUACUUCAACAUUAUUUAAAACUUUUUACUACUACCCACAUGUACAAAUCUUAUUCCAAAGUCCACGCAUAAUUGGUAAUUAUAUAAAAAUGAAAAAAAAAAGAGUAAGUGUUAUUUCCCUGCAGAUAUAACUGGGGAUAAAAUGAGAGAAAGCAUGAUAAUUGUAUCGGACGCUACUAUGAUAGUUACUAUAGUAAUCUGAGAAUAACCCGAUUUGAUCAGAACAACUAUCCAUGCGAAAACUUCUCGAGUCACCUCCCCUAGAUAGAGCUUGUUCAAGAAGUAACGAGACUAAAUUAAGGAGCGAACACUCCACAAGUUAUUUCCAUGAAAACCUGCAUUAUUGCAUCCCAUUCUCAGCAUAGGGAAGCAGUCGGCUGAAUCAGUAUGCUACAUGAGACAUGAAAACAUCUGGUUUUCCCUACCAGUUUGGCUGUGAUGGGACUUUUCGAGUAAUUGUUGAAUGCUUUUGUUUUCUAAGAUAUUUUAAUGCCUAAUUUUUUGAGUAGCUUUUUGGCCGGUGGAGGAAGGACAAGGAGUCUAAUAUUAUGAUCUUUCUUUAUUUUUGUGACAUGAAAGAAAGUGUAAUCUGGUGUGGAUGGUGUGUUCUUUCUUUAUCUUAUCUCUACGGUGCCCAACUUUAUCACAAGAAAAUUAUCAGAAGAAAGAGAGUUAGCAGCGAUGGUUGUGUGACAAAUAUUCGAAAGUAAUAUGGCCAAACAUAUCAGCAGAAGGAAAAUUAGUUUUCUAUAUUUAAACCAGAACAGAAAUUAAGGAAGAACCAACAAGUAAAAGAAAACUAAAAAGAAAAAUGGUGGGUUCAAUAAGUUUGGGCCUACACUUAGGCUACACUUUUUUCUUUUUCUUUUUUGUUUGAGAGAGAAAGACAGUAAAAUACCCGCUUCAUUCAUAAAAAAGAUGAAUUUAGCAAUAGUCGUGAGGCAACAAGGCCUUCGGGACAAAAAUAAAGACAGGAGAAGACGUGUCGACGGUCCGACUCGAUAAUUCAUUUUUUACGAUAUAUAUAUAUAUAUAUAUAUAUAUAUAUAUAUAUAUAUAUAAAAUUCCUAACCUCACCUACGACUCGUUGCAUGCUGGACAAGAUGAUGUAAACAAGAGUUUAAUUUCAAGGAUGAGCAACAACUUGGUGGGGCCCAAUUCGAUGAUGAUNUAUAUAUAUAUAUAUAUAUAUAUAUAUAUAUAUAUAUAUAUAUAUAUAUAAUUCCUAACCUCACCUACGACUCAUUGCAUGCUGGACAAGAUGAUGUAAACAAGAGUUUAAUUUCAAGGAUGAGCAACAACUUGGUGGGGCCCAAUUCGAUGAUGAUGCGAUGGCAUUAUAUAUGGCCCUAGCUCUAGAUGUCUUCACGAACCACAAGCUCCAAUUAAUCCAAUGUAAAGUCACCCAAAACCUAUAUAGCACAUAAAAACGCAAGUAUGGGGGCAUGCACUACAGUUUCAGCUCUUUGACUCCCUUUUGCUUUUAUAAUAAUGUAUGAACUUCUCUUAUUUAAGAUGCAUCUGUACGUCCAUUGCCACCCAUCAGGGAAGAUAACAUAUUUAAAAUGCUGCACAAAGACUUCAGGUAACAGUUCAUUGCAUUUCUAUUUGAAUGCUUAUGUAAUGUAAUGUAAUUACUAAGUUUAUCACCAAGAAAAGGAGGAGUAUAAGAACAAAGAAAAGCAAUGACUAUCAGAGUAGUAAAAGUGUCUAAUAAGUGUGUUUCAGAGGAUUAUUCAUCUUCAUGUACUUUAAGCUCACAAUUCUCCAGUUGUAUGUAUUUGGUGAGGGACUAUGUUCGCUAGGCAGCAGGGUUGAGUUGCAGAGUUGAAACUUGAUAUCAAUAAUUUCCGGAUAAAGUAUUGGGUGCAGAUCAUGGGAGUUGUUGGAACAGCGAAAAAGAGAAGAAAAGUCAAAGGCACAGCCAUGUGAUUUUAACUUCUCUUUGAGGGCUCCUGAAAUGAAAUCUCCAGGAAAUAUGCAUGCACAUUAUGGAAUCAUAGGUAUAUACCAAUCCCCAUAUACAUACAGCACACUCCGGCAUAUUCCAUAGGUUCGUUUCCUUUUUCUAAAAGAGAAUAAGUAAAUUAAAUGCCAUUCUUGGGUAGUCGUAAGUAAUCACAAAGUGACUUCUCUUCUUUUUUUUUUCUUUUUUUUUUUUUCUUUUUUCGAAGGGCCGCCAAGCUCGACCAUUUUUAGGUCAUAACUAUCCACAAAAAGAAUGAGUGUCUCUACUAACUAUUCUAGUAGUCGCCUUGAUCAAUGAAAUGUGCAGAUAACGGUUCAUAUAAAAUACUUUAUGUUGCGUGUAUACCCCUCUUUUUCCUUCCAACUUGUGUAUAUUAUUUUUUUUGUCAACUGGUGUAGCAGCCACAUGAAUUGGCGUUUUAAAACUUAUGCAUUAAUUGGAAAAAAAAAAAAAACAAUGAUGCGAAAUUUCAGGCCUGUUCUAAAGGAAUAUGUUUGACGUUGGGAACGAUUUGAAAAUUGUAGGACAAGACCAAGUUUGGCUCUGAACGGAGCUGUUGCGAAAGUAUACGAAUAGAGCCGCCCAGAAAAGCAUUAAUUACUGGCUUUGUUUGGAUUCUGGAUCAACCCUACAUGCUCCUGGACGUUUGAAAUGUACAAAUUAAGUAUCGACUGAUCGAUGUUAUUGCUGAGAUAUGAAGUAGUUUUGAAAGUAAAAACUCUAAUUUGAUAUUUUUACUUCUACUAUAGCAAAAAAAAAAGAAAAAAAAAAGAAAAAAAAGAAUUGUGGAAUGGGCGCAGCAAAAGCCUACCAGAAAAGCACCUAUGAGGUGAUAACAAAGUGAUCAGCUGUCAUCAGUUACAUCAAUGUUCCUCAACAACACCCUUUAGUUUUCCCCCCCAGUUGGUAUUAAUUUAUGGGAUUCUUUUAGCAAUGGUACCAAAUCAUCCAAGCGCACUCAGAAGUUCAAAGCCUAAUUAUCAGCUGGUAGCUUUAAGAAUCUGAAUGAUUUUGUAAAACGAAAGAAAGUAUAAUGCGUUGUAUGGUAGAUACAUAGCCUUCAUUCUUGUUCUUAUCUCUGGGCUGUUCAUUUAUAUCUGAAACUGAUUAACAAGCAAUGCGCAACUGUUCAACUCCAUUGAGCAGCAUGCAAAUGUACUACGAUGAAGCCAUACUUAGCAUAUAACAUUGGAUUAAGAAGUUAACAACGUACGUAAAAAUCUGCUUCUUGAAGGUUCUAGAAAGAAAUCAUUGAAGGUAUAGGUGGUCAGAAUGGUGGCAUCGAAUAUAUAUUAAAAAUCACUACUACUUUUUUUUUUUUCUUUUUUUUGAGAGGAAAGGUAGCAUGCUACCACUUCAUUCAUUUAGAAAAUGAACUGGGCUACAAGCUGAAGCAACAGGGCCUUGAGAAACAUAAAAGAGAAAACAAAAACAAAAAUAAUAGUAAGCUAACAAGGAAAAUAAAGAUAAAGAGAAAACAGGGAUAGUAAACGUAUAACUAAAAGACUAUAUAGAUAUAUAUAUAAAUAUAUAGAAUAUCAAUAUAGCAAAAAAGGUCCCAGGUUUUCCGAAGAGAGCGAAUCUCAGAUACUAGUAACCCCAUCGAACGUUUGGAUUUCUGGAAAAUUCUUCUAUUACGCUCCAACCAAACAACCCACCAAGUUGUGGCGAUUGUCGCUAACUCCUUUCCCCCGAGCGCUCCCCCUUUACUUUUGCUCGAUUCCCAGAGCAAACAAGCAGAAUCACAAUUACGCAGGGCAGAUUUAUUUGGAAGCAAACCCUCCAGAAGUGCUUUGAUACCAUCACAUCCCAUAAAGAGGUGAUCAAUGGUUUCGUCCCUAUUCAAACAGAAAACACACGUCUCCUCUCCACUCCACCCACGUUUCAGCAGGUUGUCUACAGUGAGCACCUUUCUUCUAAGAACUAACCAUACGAAGAUCUUAACUUUCAGAGGGGAUUUAAUCUUCCAAAGUUGGGCAAAGCUCCUAUCUUUUACACCACCAUUUUGCAGAAAGUCGUAUAGCGAUUUAACUAUAAACUCUUCCGACCGAGUCCAUCUCCACCUUACUUCAUCUCUUUCGUUGUUUGGGAGAAUCGUGGAUAUCGCCUCCUUAAGUUGCGAGAUCAGACCAAAAUCACACUGGGAUCUUGGUGUAAAUCCAGCUAAGAUUUUACGCCACCUCCAUCCAUCCCCCCCCAGCAUGCAUUAACCUUAAUAUUUUUGUGCAUAGCAUUGUCGUAAAUAUUGUAGAAAAGAGUUCGGAGGGAAACGUGGUCACUCCAAAUAUCUUUCCAGAAGUUGACGUUCUGUCCAUUCCCGAUUAAGUAAGUUACACCACAUUUAAAUAUGUCUCUAGUUGCUAGAACCCCCCACCACCAGUAGGAGUACAGCCUGAACGAUGCUCCUUCGCUGAGGGGCUUCCUCCUUGUGUAAUAAAUACCCUCAAGUAGAGAACCCCACUGAUGAUUUCGAAUUGUGAGAAGUCGCCACCGCCAUUUGGCAAGUAAGGCUACAUUCAUAUUCUCGAGGUCUAAUACCCUAAUCUUCCUUCCACUCUACUCCUACACACAACCUUCCAUCGCACCAGGCAAUAGCCUCCAGCUGCGGAUACCGCCCCUCUCCAGAAAAAGGCCCUUCGAACAGCUUUGAGUCGGCGAAUUACCCACUUGGGGGCUUUAAAGAUGGAGAAAAAGUACAGAGGCAGGUUCGUGAGCACGGCGUUAACCAGGACUAAUCUUCCACCUUGCGAGAGGAGUUUAGCUUGCCACCCUUCUACCUUUUUUUCCGCUUUGCCAAUAACAGACCACCAGUCCUCUCUUCGUAGCCGGCCAUUCGUAAGAGGCAAUCCAAGGUACCGUGUUGGGAAAGUCCCCUCUUUGCACCCCAAUAACUCUGCUAGAUUCUUCCCCCGGUGUUCAUGACGUCCCAAAUAAAAUAAUUCAGACGUAAAUUUGUUAAUCUUCAUCCCAGAUGCCCACUCGAAUAUUCGCCAUAUAAAAAGCAAGUUACCGACCUGCUUUUUCUUUGCUUCACAGAAGAAUAAUGUGUCGUCUGCAUAUUGAAUGAUGACUACCUUAGAUUCAUCGCUUGGUCAUUGCUUGUGGCCCUUUCCGUCAUUCUUGCGAGCCCUUCCGCUACCAACAGAAAGAGGUACGGAGAUAGUGGGUCUCCUUGUCGUAAACCCCGCUUCGUUUUUAUCCACUUGGAGGGAACUCCGUUGACUAAUACUGCAACUUUGGCAUUAGCAAUACAUUGUUCAACCCAUCCACACCACUUUUGAUUCGCCCCGAGCCACUUCAUGACCUUUCUCAGGAAGUCCCAUCUCACUCUAUCGUAAGCCUUCUCGAAGUCUGCUUUGAUUCCAACACACUCCUCACCCGCUUUCGAGCACCAGCGAACAAUUUCACUUGCCGUCACAAAAGAGUCCAAAAUGGAUCGCCCUUUGAGGAAAGCUGCCUGCACCGGGGAGGUGAUCUGUUUCAUAACUCCCUCUAGUCUGUUGGCAAGGACUUUAGAGAUAAUUUUUUGCACUCCAUUUAAGAGACUAAUGGGUCUGAAGUCACUAACUAUUUUCGCCCCCUCUUUCUUAGGUAUUAGGCAGACGAACGAAUAAUCCAUUGGCCCGGAGUUUAAACUUCCGUCAUAUAGUUCCCGGAAUAUGCUAAAGAGAUCGUCCUGAACUAACUCCCAAAACCUUUGGUAGAACCUUAAAUUGAACCCGUCAGGCCCCGGUGCCUUGUUGCUACCUAAUUGGAAAAUCGACGUCCUAAUUUCUUCCAAUGAAAAAGGAGCGGUGAGGUGAUCCGGGUUUAGAAUGUUUCGAGUCCUGAAAAGCCCGCUCCAAUCACCUGUACGCGACAUAUUUGCAACAUCGGGAGCAAAAAUAUCCUUAAAUUUAGAGUAAAAAUAUGUUCUCUUUUCCUCUUCUCUAUGCAGGUUCCUACAAUCGUCUUCCACCGCAUGUAUAGCAUUUUCCCAUCGCCUUUCAUUGGCCUUAGCGUGAAAAAAUUUUGUAUUCCCAUCUCCUUCCUUUAACCAUUGUUGUCUGGACCGGGUUUUCCAUGAUUUCCUCAUCAACCGCGACUUUUGUAAGUUGUGCCUUGAGUUGUUUUCGUUUCUCAACCUGUUGUGAUGACAAACAUUGGUAUUCCUCCCAUUGAUCCAACUGCUGGAUUUCUUCGGAUAUAGCUUUCACUGUUUUAGAAAUGCUGUAGAAGCUUGUAGAACACCACUCCUUAAUUCGUUUUCGACAGUGACGUAAUUUAGCCACUACAGUGAGGACGCUGGUUCCUUUCCUUGGCACUUCGUUCCACCAUACUGGUACUAAUUGACAAAAGUCCUCUCGUGCCAGCCACACCUCCUCCAAUCUGAACAAACGUUUAGUCAUUUUAUCACUGGUGGACAGUAGUAUUGGCGAGUGAUCAGACGUGAUCCGAGGCAUAGCCGUGACUUUGGAGAGAGGAAAAGUGUGAUCCCUGUUACCAUAUAUAUUACAUACCAUAUAUAUAUAUUAUAUAUGUUACCAUUUAUGUUAUAUAUAUUACUAUGUAUGUUACUUUCUUAUUAGGAUAGUAUUAUUUAUUUCUUUGUAUAACAGGAUAUAAUCCUGUACUUCCAUGUAAAGCUUUUCCUCUCUCUAUAUAAGAGAAUGGAUUUAGAUGAAUAAUAUACAGAAAAUUUCUCAAAUCUCUUGUUUCAAUCCCAUUCUGUAGAGAUUAGGAAACGGUCUAGUUUAGCUAAUGUCGGAAUACUCUGCAUGUUAGACCACGUGAAGUUCUGGUUCCCCAUUGGCAGAUCAAUCAUCUCUAAAUCGUUGAUUAGGUCAGUAAACAUAGCCAUCAGGCGACCACUCCACCUUUUGCCCCUCCUCUCCAGUAGGUUCUUGGUUAAGUUAAAAUCCCCGCACAUUACCCAUGGACCACUGCAUAAGGCUUUCAGCGCUGUCAAUUCGUUGCAGAACUCCUCCUUUCCAUCCCACAUAGGUGGCCCAUAAACAUUCGUAACAUAGAAGGACGUAUUAGUGCUAGUAUGAGUGAGCCGAAUAGUAAGGGAAUAUUUGCGGAAUAAGACCUCGCUACUCGAAAAAACUUUCGAGCUCCAAUAAAAGUGAUCAACCCACCAGAAGCCCUUUCUGAUUUGAUAAAAUGACAUUUAUCAAACAAAGAGCCCGCAAACGAUCUAAGGAAAGAACACGACACUACUACCUUUUUUUUGUCUGUAUAAUCAGUUCUCUACAGUACAUGCAUGGAACCAAAUUAGUAAAGCAAGUAAUCGAUCGUGUGCUAAUUCACACUUUUAUUGGCUUCUGGUUGAAACGCAUUAAUUAGAUUAUAUAUAUAUAUAUAUAGUUGAGUUAUGAUACUUUUAUAAGUAUCACUAUCAUUGUGCUAUUAGGUUUUAAGCCAUUGGAUCUACUUUUUGAUUAUUAAUAGCCCUUGGAUUAAACACUAUUCCACCUACCACCACCUACCACCAUCAUCUCAACCUCACAUCUUCCAUCCAAGAGCUAAAAACAUACAAGUAUCACCCUCAUGAUACUUUUACAAGUAUUCUAGCCCUACUCUCAUACUCUAUAUAUAUAUAUAUAUAUAUAUAUAUAUAUAUAUAUAUAUAUAUAUAUAACUUGCCUAAUGCCCCACAAUCUAUACCUAAUUAGCAUAACUACAAAAUAUAUAUAUAACAAGACAUUUGGCAGCAACAAAAGAUCAAUUAGUUCGAAGGUAUCUCCCAAUAGAGAAAGGAGAUAAACAAUCCAAUAUAGUACUCAACAGAAUUAGUGGCUCUCACAUUAAUUGGAGCCACAAUCAUUUGAUCACACCUCAUCUUCCUUAGGCUCAUCAAGCUAGGACCAUUUUCCCAAUUAAGUAAGCUGGUACGGAAGCAAAUUAUGAUUUGGUAUGUUAAUGGCUCUCAUGUAGCAUGCAUAAGGAAAGUUCAAAAGAAAAAAAAAAAAAAAUCUAAGCUGGACUAAUUUUUUGGUUCAGUGGUUUCAUGAGAAAAAGAACAGUAAUUAAAGGAGGCAGAGUAGGUUAACGUAACAUAGAUUAAUCAUGGGUUGUUGGCCAUGCAUGUAAUUAUAAUUCCUUGUCUCUCACUCAACAUAUAUGAGGUCCUACAAAGAGAAUAAUAAUAAUAAUAAUAAUACUUUAUUUUUUUGAAAAAAAAAACACUACUUAAUUGUAUAUACAAAGCGCACAAUCUUAAAAAAGCUAGUGCUUUAAUUGAAAAGCCCCCGUGACGCCUCUACAUGAACUCGGUGCAUGAAUGUCGAUGCAAUGGAUGCAGAAUAAUGUUGUCGAGCACUACCGCACUAGGCUUUUUUGCUUGUACCCACUGCACUGUUUGAAUCAUUUGAACAAGUACGUUCCAUAUUUAAGAGUUGUGACAAUCUCAGCCAUUGACCAGAGCCAGUGUUGGGCCCGAGCCCAUGGUGGUCUGGGUUUCAUUGCUCCCGAAGUAGGGCGUGAUGAUGUGUUCUUCCAUGUUGACUGUUGAGUCAAGCAUGUUGUAUAUCUCGCGGCUCACGUGCAUGCCAUGUCUCACAAAUGCUGCCGAGUUAAGCACGAGUGCUGCUACUAUUUUACCUCAUGUUCGGUCAACUGUACUGUGACUUUUGCAAUUGUUUGAUCUGAAUUUUGAAACAAUUUCUUUAUUCUUGAAAAUAAUAUAUAUAUAUAUAUAUAUAUAUAUAUAUAUGUAUGUAUGUAUAAUGAUUUUUCUCAAUCCUAAUAGCUUGCGCAAUCAAGCGCAACCAAACAGUUAAGUGCCCAUGGACACGCUGCUACCAUGUAUUUGUACUGCCCCACGAUUCAACGGAAUGCAUGGCAUUUAUUACUUCAUAUAUACAACAAAAUAAAGGGGAAGUCCAUCUAAAUCAUGCAUAAUAGAACUACAGUGUACAGUAAAAAAAAAAAAAAAAGAAAAAGGAAAAACCUUAGAGCUUUCUAACAGAGCUUCAAGUCGCAACCAAUCACGCUUCAGUCACCUACCACUCCAUUUUUCCUAGACCAACAACUAAGCUAAUCCGAUAAUCACAAACUUGCUAUGCAACAUGCCCUUACAUACUCUAUUUANCUCUCUCUCUCUCUCUCUCUCUCUCUUCCUUUCUCACCUCCCGUACCUUCUCUUCUUCUCCAUCGCCUCCUCCGUAAGCAUCUCUCUCUCUCUCUCUCUAUAGAUCUAUCAAGGUAUUGGAACCCUAGAUCGUUGGUGUUGCGAGUAGUAUUUCCUCCGGUAAAUAAUUUUUGACCAUUUUAUUGAUUACUUCCGAAAUUGUAAGCAUUUGUGUGUUAGUCUGAUUGUGUUUGAUGCAUCAGAGGUUGUUAGAUCAAAUGUUAGCAUUACGUGUGGGAUUUGGGAAGGAGACAGAUCCGUUUGUUUUGAUCCGAUAUUUUGGUUUUGAAAUGUAUUAUUUUUUUUACUCUCUUUUGCUAUAUGUGUUCUGAUCUGUGCUGAUGGAUCAGAAAUAGAUCGUUUCUCGUAGCGGAUUGUGUCAGAUCCUUAGUUUCCGCGGUUCGAGAUGAUUAGAGUUGGAUCUAUGUGAAUAUUACGAGGUCUUAUUGCUUCCUCAGAUUUUUUUUUUUUCCUCCAUUUUCUUGUAAGCCUCGUCUGGGCGCGAUUACUUAUAUUAUCUGUAGCGAGCACCAGAUCCUCGGAUUGUUAGUAAAACCUUUCUGUCUCCUGCAUUGUGUGGUUCAUUAUGAAUUAAGUCAUUGAAGUUUGAUCUGAUUUUAAUUGCAUUUUUGAAGUUUCAAUUGCAACUAUCUGGCCCCGGUGGCUGUUUUGGGUAACAUUAAGUCCUAUUAGUCUACUUUCUGAAAUAAGAUGCCAUGUCGGCCUUGUCGUCCCAAUUGAUGUUGUACAAGUUCUCUUCCUGUUGUCCCUGAUGGCAUGCUAUGAUGAUGUCACUUUUUUUUUUUUUUUUUGUUUUAGACAGUAGAGUAAUAGAAGGAUACAUUGUCAUGGAAAGUAAACUAAAAUUGCGCAACUUGAGAUGUUUGCAAGGUGAAAAAUUCAACAUAAUAGUUCUUGGUUUAAUAUCAUUCUUUUUUGAGAUCCAUCCAAUCUUGAGAGUUGAAUGAGAGGCCGUAAUGAAAUUAUCUAGUUUUGGUCCCUUGAAGCAUCUUUAACAUCUUUAACAUGAUAAUGCUGUUAAUGUUGCACCUGUUUGAAGUGGGUUCAAUUGUCUCAAAUUGAUAGUUGUCGAGAUGGGGCUGUCCUUCACCAAGUUAUUCAGCCGGCUUUUUGCCAAGAAGGAGAUGAGGAUUCUUAUGGUGGGUCUUGAUGCCGCUGGUAAGACCACUAUUCUGUACAAAUUGAAGCUGGGGGAAAUUGUGACCACGAUUCCAACCAUUGGUACGUGUUACGUCAGCAUUAUGUUCAAGCGCAAUUUUUUUUUUUGGCUUCUUAUUACACUCACCUUUUUAGAAUUUGUUUGUAGUGAAUCUGAUUUGAGUGCAUCCUUAUAUUUAGGCAUUCAGGAUGGCAAAUAGUCAAUGUAAUCUUUGAAGCCCCAAACCCAAAAAUUUCUAUCCUACAAAAAAUAAUUAUGAAUAUAAUCACCUAUCUUUGCAUAAUGCUAUUUUAUAUCUCUAUAAUAAUAAUAAUAAUAAAAUAUUUCCAUUUGUUAAAAUGUUUAAACUUUCCCUCUCUAAAUCUACCAAGUUAUUGGUAGUCAGAUUCUUCAGUUGCUCGUCAAUGUUUGUUUUUAACUGAUUGAGUUUCUAACUUUCUAUCUUAUAUGUGGUCAGGAUUCAAUGUUGAAACUGUGGAAUACAAGAACAUUAGCUUCACUGUUUGGGAUGUUGGUGGCCAAGACAAGGUAUGCAUUCCUUGUUGGAUGUCUUCUGGUCUGUGAGGAAUGGAGUGUGUUCUCAUUUGUGUUUAUCCUUAUUGCCGAUUUGUCUUAUAGCUUUCACCCCUGUAAAUCACCUGUUCUAUUUCCAACGUAAAUGCCUAGUAUUUUUAGCUUGAUUUCAUUCCAUGUGCUCCAUAGGUUUUCUCUAGGAAAGAUGCAUCUUUGCUAACAGAACCAUUUCUUUCCUUUUUUCCUUUUGCACUUUUUAAACUGCUUUCCUUUAGAUUUAUUCUAUUAAGUAGCAAAAUUUUUUACUAUUUUGAUGUUUAUGAAAAUUUUCUGUUGUGCAUUGGCAUUAUCAGAUUCGACCUUUGUGGAGGCAUUACUUCCAGAACACUCAAGGCCUGAUCUUUGUGGUCGACAGCAAUGACAGGGACCGUAUUGUUGAAGCCAGAGAUGAACUCCAUAGGAUGCUUAAUGAGGUAAGUAUGUGCAUUUUCACUUUUUGCCUGCUUCACUCUGGCGAACAAAGCUAAUGAAAGUUAAACAUUUUUUACCCUUGCCUCAGCUUAGGAUAUAUUAGAGAAUUGUGCAAUACUUUCUUAUUUUCUUUAUGGAAUCAAAUAAAACCUUGCAAGCGUUGUAAUACCAAUUUAGGCAAAAUAAAAUAAAUAUAUGUUCCCUACAUUGUCAGCAGAUGUUUCUUUGUCAAACUCGUUAUUUGUGAUACCUUUUCCUUUUCUUUAUCUGGAAGUGAUUUAAACUCUAAAUAUUGAAACAAUUUUUGGAGAUAUUUACAUAUAUACACUUCCAUUAUUAUUCCUUUACACAUAUUCCCUGUUAGAUCAGAAUUUUCAUAUACAUUCUGGAGAAACUUAUUUACUUGCAUAUGCAUGUUUGUACUUACAGAGUGCCUCUUUUCAAUAACCUCUUUCUAGUUCACACGUAAUUACCCCUCACCUAAUUACCCCUUAUGAAUUGGGUGACUUCCCACCUUAACAUUGGGGUAAGCAAGUUUAAGCACUCAAGGGGAAUAUGUGAAAAUACGAAUGUUCAGGUUAUAUAGGUAAAUAGAUGGUUUUGAGAUAUGUAUGAGAAAGCUCCUAUCCUGUUUUGUUAUAAUUGCUACUAACUACUGGAAUAGGCAGGUUGACAGUCGGUUCUUCCUGUGAGAGAGAUUACUGAGAGAUUAUUUCUGCUCUUUGUUCAGGAUGAGUUGAGAGAUGCUGUGCUGCUUGUGUUUGCGAACAAACAAGACCUCCCAAAUGCCAUGAAUGCUGCUGAAAUCACUGAUAAGCUUGGCCUUCAUUCCCUCCGCCAACGCCAUUGGUACACAUCCGAUCUUUUUCUUGCAAAGCAUUGAUACUUCUCAUUCUAUUAUUUGCUAUAUUUGAACCCAACGUUGACUACAGUUUCUGGCAGUUUUUUUUUUACGUUCAGAAAACUCAGUUUGAAGUACAUACCCAGACCAAUCCUGUUUUACCCAGUUUUGUAAAUAGUUUCAAACAAAAGAUUUGAUAUAUGUGUAAUAGAUCAACAUGAAAUUCAGUAAUUCUACUUGUUAACUUAUGUGCAAUGAACAUUAUUAUGUGUUCAAUGCUUCUUCAGGUACAUUCAGAGCACAUGUGCUACAUCUGGAGAAGGUCUGUAUGAGGGGUUGGACUGGCUCUCCAACAACAUUGCUAACAAGGUCAGAUUCAUCAGCCCAUAUAUCUAUUCUUUAUUUGCAUAUUGAGUCCCUCUUUUGAAUAAAAACAAACUCUUUUGGCAUGAUAACCAGGUUAACAACCUUGUUUUAUCAUUCUGCAGGCUUAGAUGUUACUCAAAAGGAUUCUUCUUGCUUGUCAUGUUUCUUUUGCUAAUGAAAUCCAUUAUCUUUGGAGAGAGUGAGAGAGCUGUAUCAAUAUCGAGCAUUAGAUCCUCUUGUACUUUUUACUUUUAUAGACUCAAAAAAUUGCCGCUGGUUAGAACAUGAAUAAGCUGGAACUUGUUCUGCUAGAUGAUGGUAUUAUUUGUGCUGUAUUGAAAUUUAUUUGAAGACCAUAUUUAGUUGCCUUAAAAUGUUAAUGCUGGUGCCUAAAUUAUCAACCUCAAAGGUGGAUUGUCCGAUGUGCUUUAAUUAACUGUGAACUGGAAGUUUAAGUACCUUGGUGGCCGAUUCAAUGCUGGUCCUUGCGAAAAAUUACAAGGCUGUAUAACUUGUUUGAAUGAACGAUAUAUAUGGCCUUGAUCUGAUGCCAAAAUUUACAAAGAAAAACUAUCUUAUGUAAGGACCAGUUUCUUGUUGAGGAUUAUAUCAUCUGUGGAGAAGUCAGCUUCCUUCCGGUACGUUCCCCGGCCAAAGUCGAGGUUGUAUGAAUCCGCAAGGCCAUCGAUCAACCCAAAUUCUGGGGUCCAACCUAAUUCCUUUGUAGCUUUCUCAAUCGAUGCAAAGAAAUGCUGCAGUUGGAGAAUUACAGGUAACUUAAAUUUCGUUUCAUGUGUAAUGUCUGCACACUGAUACUGCUAUAUGGUGGUAAUAAACAAACUAUUGUGAUAUGCAUUGAAUACUAAUUUUGUAAAUCCAGCAGCUGAUGUGUAUGAAAAAUGUAACUUGAGAUAGUCUGAUUAUAGUCUUUUGAAAAAUGGGAAGGGCAGAUUUUUCAGCUUCCACAUUCAAGAGCUCAUAACGGUAGAAUGACCACAACUUCUUUUCUCAGGUGUUGUGGUUAUAGUAGAUUGAUGAAAGGUUUGAUUAUAUGAAUAAUUAGCUGGGAGUUUUAAGGUCUUAAGAAAUAAAAAAGCAAAGAAAAGAUUAGUGGGCUUCUUGUAAAGAAAACUGCACCUUCAUCAGUAUGCUGUUCGUAACUUUCAAUGAAAACUUGGUACCUGAUCUCGGAAUGGGAAAGCUUUCUUCUUCCCAAAAUCAAAUUCUUUAGGGUUAUAGUGAACGAUUUCUGGUUCCGGAAAACCCGCGGCCUGAAAUGGCAAAAACAUUGAAUAUCAAUAUGCAGAGAAACAAAAUAAGUUAUUAACUUUUCUUAAUUUUACAUAAAGUUUUAAGUAUAAUUUGGUUACCUUUGCACAUGCCUUUGCUAAGCCAUCAAAGGUGACAUACUUUGAUCCAGAGAUGUUGUAGACUUGCCUGCUUGCUUUUGAGUUGCCAAGAACAAUCACGAAAGCCCUCGCUAAAUCCUACAUAGUUAAUGGCUCCAAAUAGGUAAGCAGCAUUUCAAAGAGCAAUUCAAAAAUUGUAAUACAGUCGACAUUUUGAUCUAGGCUUGCUAACUAUUUAUGUGUCAAAGGAAUUAUAUUUUUCAAUUGAUGAACUGUAUCGUUCCAUGUAUCAGUCUACAUAUAACGCACAGUUUUGAAAUUUCUGCUGGAACUCAAAUCAUAAAACAAGUAUAUUUCGGUUUCAGUUGUUGCAGUUCAAAACUAAGGUCCAAACUACCCUUCAGUUAACUUGGAAUGAAUCUGUAAAAGGCUCACCUUUAGCGUAUUGAGCCAACUUGAUUAACAUUUGCUUUUAGAACCAAAUUUGAUAUCUCUAUGCAUUACUUGUAUUUCUUAGCUCUUCGUGCUUGAAUCUCUUUGGUAGAUGGUGAAAGAGAAAGGGGCGUAGAGAGAGAAGAAGAAACGAGUUGGUCAUACUCUUCACAGAUAUUGCCUAAAAGUUCAUCACCAUACGUUGCUAUCUUAUCUUGUGAAAUUAGGGUUACAACAUCAGAUUCGAAUCUUCCCUCUUUGUUCUGAUCUUUCAAACAGAAAUCUAAGAUGUAAUUGAUAAUUGCGUCUAACGAAGUUGGCAGUCAUAAGGUAUCUAUCUUCACUAAUACGACACGCAAGAUAGGUGUCACAAACUUGACUUUUUAUCAAAAUAUUUUUCGAAAACUAUGCUCUGUAAACAGAAUAGAAGCUAAUAAGACAUACUUAACGUUUAACGUUAUUAGUCAACUGACCUUAACAUGCCCAAGCUGGGUUAAUUGAUUUCCUGAAUUGGGGAUCGGAAUUGGUCGUCCGGCUUUCAAUCUAUGGAAGAACCAUUCUUCUACAGGAUUGUAAUUCAAGGGCCCAUAAAUGUAAACCGGCCGAAGAGAGGUCCAAUUCACACCGCGAGAGUCCAGCAAGUUCUCAGUCUCGAGCUUUCCUUUGUGCCUACUCUUUGGAUCAACUGCAUCAGUCUGUUAAGUUUCAACACAUCANAAAAAAAAAAAAAAAAAAAAAAGAAAAAAAAGAAAAAAAAAAGAAGCAAGUUUGCUGAAACUGUAAUUUCUUCGAAUUCUUCAAAUAGUUCUCCGCAAACAACAGUUUUAUAGAAGCCCCAGCCAUAAAUUAGGAAAAAGAAAAAAGAAAAAAGAAAUAUAAACAUUGAAUCUCCACCUCAAAGUGCGGCAGAAUAUCGGACUUAAGAUACACUCCAGCUGAAGAGCAAUAUAUGUACCUGCAGAAUUUUACCCAAUGAGAGUGAGGGAGCAACUGUAUCAGAGCAUGCCAAGAAUAAUCAGACCACUCUUUUUGAUUAACUGUGCAAGCACAUAACUUGCCAUAUAAUACAAAAUCACUGUACUCUCUCUCUCUCUCUCUCUCUUAAAUAUGAAAAGUUCUGAUGAGACGAAUUUGGAAUAUAGAGUUUCUACAUAUAUAAAACUACUCAACAAAAGAAGUGGUAGGAAAUAAAAGCUUACUGUUCUAGCUUGGGCAAGCCAUCCAAUAUAGGCUCUACCUCAGCAGCCUCACGCCCUGAAAUAGGUAUUCAACGAGACUACAGAUGAAAGUAUAUUCGAUAUGAAACUAUGGUCUUGUUUCUUUACAGAACUAGAAAUGGAAUAGAAGUAUAGGACACGGAUUACUUUGACGAAAUAAGAUUUUACCAUUAAUGUCGUAAACAACAUCGAAUCCCUUAGCUGCAAGGUUUGUCUUGACAAAUUCAAAGUCUUGCCUAUCCCCUUUUAAAUGCAGUAUCUGUGAACAAUCGGUUAACUCGGUUGUAUAAUAACAGAAAUCAGGGAGAGCAAGACCAUUUUACUUUCUCUCUGAAAGGUCAGAUAGAAACGAAUUUAUUACCACAAACUGAUUAUCAUCACAUUAUGCAGUAACAAUUUUUGGUUUUUCUCAAGUCACCAGGGUUGUCAAUCCUAAUUCAUCGAAAUUCAUCGAAAAAUAAAGUUAUAUGACUUCUGACUUUUGAUUAAUGAAGUUCAUAAGCUUGCUUGCGGUGUAUACGGCCAAGUCCACAUAGCUUUAGAUUAAUAAAUUUAGGUCGGGGAAAGAAUAUAGAUGAUUGAAUUUCUGAGACAUGCUCACUUUUAGCUUAUACUCGUGCCAUUUACGGGUUAACAAAUUCUUUUGCGAAAUAAUUUAGCAGCAACAUUUGCCAAACAUAUAGCAAACAAUCAGCAAUUCCCCCAACCGUAACUUUCGCCAGUUAUCUCACCCUCAUAACUCAAACAGCCUUUUCGAUAGCCACCAGGUAAAAAGAUGAUGCGAAAAAAGAACAUAAAUUGCAGUAAAUAGAGUGAUUAUUCUCUCUUACUUUGGAUGAGAAAUCGGCAUAGUCUUGGUCAGAUUCCCCCGGUAAUUGUUGGGUUAUGGGUGUCUUCCCUCUAGUAAAUAAUGUAACCUGUUGACCCCGAAAGAAAUGAUUCCAUCAAUUACCCUAAAAAUACCUUCAAACAAAGCAUCCAAGCUCAACAUUAUAUAAACCAAUUACACUCCUUAACUUCACCCAACCCAAAAAAAAAAAAAAAAAAGAAGAUCCAAAACCUGGUGUCCUUCUUUGACAAGGAGCCUGGACAAGAACACACCAAUGAAUCUGGUGCCUCCCAUUAUAAGGAUGUUCUUGGAGCUUGCUGAUGCUCUCACCUCGACUGCCCCUUUUGGUUGCCAUUUUCUCCUCCUUUUCUGAAAAUUUAUAUGCCGAAACAAAUCUUAAGCCAGCAAUUCCUGUUUCUCACGUCUUUAGACAUCAAGGCCUUGUAAGAAGAUUAAGAGCACACGAUUUUAAAUUCAGUGCCACCAACAUAGAUUUCAAUAUAUAAUUACAUAUAUAUAUAUAUAUAUAUAUAUAUAUAUAUAUAUANCAAUAUAUAAUUAUAUAUAUAUAUUUUUUCUUUUUUCCUUCUAUCGCAGAGUUCACCUUAGAUUGCAUUUUGAAAAUCAUCAAAAGCAAACAGGUAAGAACUUUUUUUUUUUAUUUUUUGGGUUUUUCCUUUUGGUUUUGAGAAUUGGGAAUAGGGUUAACCUGAAUGGAGAUGUUAAGUGCUGCUGCACCAUGGAAGUCUGAUAGAGCAGAAUUGAGGAGAGAUGAGUUGGGAGAGACCCAAUUGCUGUGAGGCUGCCUAUGCUGCACCACCAAUACCCUUGCCAUCUCUCUCUCUCUCUCUCUCUCUCUCUCUCUCUCUCUCUCUGUACUAUUUUUAUUAUUCUGAAGGGUUUGAUUAGUGUUGUGAGAGAGAGAUGUUUUAAGUUUGAGGAUGUGGUGUGGUGGCUCUUAUUAAAUGUUUAGGGCCCAACUCUCUCUCUCUCUCUCUCUCUCUCUCUCUCUCUCCACCUCGGCCUCUAACAUCUCCUCAGCAAAAGGAUAAGAGAACUCCCACUUUGGUCUGGUUACAUCCACAGCUUCACUCAUCCCGGAUAAAGAUUUGUCAAUUCCUUGGCGCCACAGUUGGCUGGGGCUGGGAGAUCAAAAUCAUUGCCUGCCUGCACCCAGUGCAUCCCCCCAUCCGUCUUAUCUCAUCUCAUAUUUUAAAUGCAACACGCUCCCUGUUAAUACGGUUUUUUUUUUUUUUUCUUUCUUCUUUCUUUCAGUGUAAGUGUUUGGAUGAUUUUUCGCAAUCCCUAUUCCUAUGCUUUUCGUUUCGAUGGCAAAAAUUAGGAAAACGAAAACAAAUAUGCUUCUUAUUUUAUAGCAGAUGUGCUUACCAAGUUUCAUUUAUCUCUUCGUUUUAAUUAUCAUAUGUUUUACUAAACCCCCAGGUUUCCAACAUUUAUGAUUCUUCACACGCAUCUAAAGCUAUUCUCAUGUGCAGAGAGGACUUCACAGAGACACCCUAGUUGUAGUAUUGAUCUGAUUACAGUACGAAUAGUGUAAUUGUUCAUCUGUCGAUCAAGCUUGCGGCGGCCAACACAAACUGCUCUUAUUAAACUUUUGCAGGAUAACCAGCAGCACCCUGAAAAUUUGACUGCCUGAAUGGAGAAUCAAUUUUGAAUUCAUCAAAAGAUUCAUAAACAAAGCAUUUUAUAAAAUUCACAGAAGUUUUUAGUUUUUACCUCGACAAUAAUGAUUAUAGUUGUACAUUAAAUAAAUGCCCACAUUUGGGCUUCCUUGUGCAAUUUCACAUCUGAAAACUAAUCAGUAUAUCUUCUGUAGUCAUCCCCCACUUACGUAAAAGUCGUUAGCAUCAUAAAUUAUACGCCAACAAACUAAAAAAUAAAAUGAUUACACUCGCGAAAUCACCCCCUGUAUCGCCAAAUCUUUACUCAUCAUUCUUUCACGAGAAAAAGGGACGAAUUUUGCAAGAAAUUCAGAUGAUAUUCCAAUGUAUGUUGCCACUUUGCCAUUUUAACAGAGCACAUCUCAUCACGGCAUGAGGAACAGCAUACAUCGCUCAUUCAACAAUUCUAAAGCUAGGGUACGGUAAAAAAAAAAAAAAAAAAAACACAGCAUGAAGACUGGUAACUUGGUAUUAAUAAGCUCAUCAUAUUUAUUUCGUGUUUCCUUCGGACACAUAGAUCUUCCAUUUCUGACUCGGAUGUUUCGCUUCUCUCCAGAAUUAAUAAAUGAGAUAAGACCAUGAAUUUAUUUAGCAUUAUCAAGUCGUGAAACAAUUCCACCACAAGAUUUUUCCAUCUUCAAUUUUCCUGCAAAAGGAGGCCUAAUCUAUAUUAGCAGUGCGAGAAAUAGAAGAAAAGGAGAACAAGAGGAGCAUAUAUAUUGCAAUUUAGUCCUGAGAAAAUGAUCAUUUUACCCCUUUCUUAGAAAAGAAGUCUCUGAGCACGGUUAAAAUGUUCGUUUUGGAGGAACAAGUCACGUACUGUUUGUUUAUUCUGUGUAAAUAUUAGGACUAAAUUAAAGCAAUAUUGUAAAUAUCAGGACUAAAUUGCAAUAUAUGAAAGGUCGGUUGCCAGGUCCCAGUGUUAGGAUGGUUCCACACAGUUUUACCCGAACAUGAUCAGAACAGAAUGCAGGCUAAUAGUUAGUUCUAAAACUUCUAAAUUUAGCCUAACGGUUUUAACUUUACAAAAAAAGUGACCACGGAAAUGGGCACACGGCACGGGAAGAUGUAUUACCAAUUAUACUGAUGUCUCUAACAACUCAGCAGUCCAUGUUCAAAAAGCGGAGCUUUUUCUAAUCCUUUUGCUUUGUUAGCUUGCUUCAUUUUCGCUCUUCGCCUCAGGACGGAAGAGUAAAUGAAUGGAUAUUUUUUUCCCUAAAUGAGAAAUAAAUACUGUUAAUAGAAACAGCUAUUUGAAUUCCAUCUAAUGCCAAGGACUAGGAGAAUUUCAGAAUGAACUGCAACCAUCAGUGUGACCUAACAAUCAUGCAAAUGAAAUGUAAUUCAUAUUUUAACAGUAAACUCUCGAGUUAAAAGGUAAUACACUCACCUUCACUGCUGCUUGAAACAACUGAAUACAUGCCAGAACAACUAAAAGGUAUAUAUCGUCAUGUUCGCCUUGAUGUAUCUUGGCCACCAGCUUCAUUCCAACAGAAAUAAGGUGUAUUAUAUAGUGACCAAGAUGAGGGGUCAGAUCCCACCUAGCAAAAUCAUUACAACAUGGAUUUGCAUAUAUGUGACAAUUUUGCAUUAAAAGACAAAUUUUGCAGAAACAACCCCUGCAGGAUCGACAUACUUGUUUGAGAAAUUUUCUAGCGUUGAAAUUUCGGUCAUUAAUACUCCCCCAUUGAGUUGGUUCUCUAACACCUAUGGAAACAAUUUCUUUGUAAAUAUGACUUGUGUGCAAAAUGGAUUAGGUGCCUGUCUGACCAGGCUGGAGCUUCUAUGAGAGAGCUAUUCAAAAAAGCACUAAUAGCUUUUUUUGUAAAAAAAACUAAAAAAAAAAACUCCGAUUACUUCUCACUGAUGCAUAGGCAGAGGCUUAAAAUAAAAAAUUCAGCUCAUGGGGCAGCAGAAACUCAUUUCAGCUUCCCAUCACUGCAAAAGCUCCAUAAGUAUGAUAUUAGUCUAUCAGAAGCAUUAAAGAAAAAGGAUAUUAGUCUAUCAGAAGUAUGAUAUGCAUGUAGGGUAGCAUUUUCAAUGCAAGUGCUUCAACUAUUUUCCUUCCUCUGUUUCAUUAAUUGCUCACCAGCUCUUUCCCUCGGGCUAACAAUCCUCUUGUUCUUUGAUCCUUUUCGAUUGGGCUGUGAAAAGCUGACAUCCCGGGUUGCAGAAGCCGGACAAAUUGAAUCAUUCUGCAGUUCUAUCAGUGGUUGAAUGCACAUAUUGCUUGCUAUAAUGGCGUUUGGCGCGCUAUCAUCACUAACCGAUUGAUCACCGUGUGAGAACUCAAACUUCAACACUUUCUCCCUCGCUUUCUUCAAAGCCCCAAGAGCAUACUCUUUCAGAUCACAAUCAAAUGCGCCAACCAAAGCAAUGUCCAAAGGUAUUGCUGACCACACAUGAUGAGUUCAUCGUAAUUUUCCCUCUUAGGAAAUAGGAAAUGAUGCCGUGUCUGGAAUCAAAGUGGAAGCAUGCAAUCAUUUGAAAUCCUUUCUCCGACGUGGCAGUACGAAGUUAGGUGGCAAAAUCAUCACAAAUUCUUGACGAAGGACACGCAGUGCAUGCGUGCAUAAUAUACCUCUAAAUUCAAACGAGCGCCAAAUACACUUAACCUCCAGCUCAAUUGAAUCGUAGCGACUUUAAAUGAAAGCUGCUUGUCGUCUAAGAGUUAAAUCACCAUGUACCCGGCAAUUCGAGCAUUCCUUUCAAUUUUUCUACAUAUACACUGAAUCAAACAAAACUCUCACCUCAUCUUGGUAUUUUUGAAACAUGUUGCUAGUAUAUGGAUUAGCAUUUGUUUCUCAAAUUUGAAUCCGGGAAUUCACUGAGGUGACGCAUGGAAAGACCGGAGAUCCUCUUGGGACUCUUUCUCCCGCUUUUCUCUAAGAAGACGAUCAUAUUGUUCUAGAAACUUGUUAAGUGAAGUCUUAGAAGUCAAGUGAUCAUCUCACUUUGUCCGGUGGAAGACACACUGGCCCAAAAAGUGUCCUUAAUAUGAACAGGGGCCCGGUGCUUCUUAUCUAAUUGGUACAAGGAAGAAAACCAAGCAUUAUCUUGAAGUUGGCAUCUCUCUAUCAUCACCUCCCACUCCAUCUCAAAGUCAUUAAUAGUUAGGGAAUUAAAGAGAGCGUUACAUAAUCUAAUAGUUAUCUCCUCCUUAUUUUCCAAAAUUUCCAGUUUCUCGGGUAAUUUCCUCGCGAUUUGCUGACGGCAAAAUCAAAUUCUAGCAUUCGGAAACACCUUCAUAACUGCUGCGCUUAUCGAUUCAUCGCGAUCAGUGGUUACACAAUCCGGAGGCUUGUUGUUAUUCAUGCACCUUAUCCACUUUGUAAAGUAGUCCCGUCACCAAGACCACCGCAACCUAGCAACACAUGUUGCCCAUGGUGGUUAGCUCCAAUAAAUGAAAUGAAACCAAGGGCACAUUGGAUUUGCUCAUCAAAUAAAGUAGUGUCCAUUGUAAUUACAUCACUGCAGUACUGCUGUACUGGUACUCGGCUCGAGAUCUAGCAUCAAGCCAUGAGACAUUUUACAAGAACGCCAUUCUCAUCCCCACAACAGCUUUUGUCUGCAGCAGAAUCACAAGCUUCAAGUUUUUGAGCUUCAAGAUCUCAUUUUUGCUGCCGCAGUUGAAAGCAGAAGCAGGAGCUCGGCCAAACAUGCAUAAUCCAAGAGCAUAGCAAAACUUCCUCACAGCACUAGCAAAAUUCGACAUUAAUCCCGGCAUUGCCUAUUUAGGCGAAAUUUAUGGGAGAAAGGGCGAAAUCCAUGCGAUUUCGGCGAAAUUGAGAUCAAAAUGCACCGUUCGAGUCCACCGCUGUUAGGGUUGCCCACAGGAUCUUCGAUUCUUGAGUUUGGCCGUUUUUUUUUUUUUUUUUUUUUUUUUUUUUUUUUUUUUUUCGUCCCCCCCUAUUUUGGGUUUUGCUCGCGAGGGACCGAGGGUUUUGGGGAAGGUUUCGAGGGAGCGAUAGGCAGGGGCGGAGGAUCCUCUGCGGACCGUAAUACGACCCAAAAACUACCCAAGAGAGAGGUCACGGUCUACCGGUCCACCGGUCUACGGAAGAAGUAAAAUAAAAUGUUAAACUCCUAAACCACAGGAAAAAAAAAAAAAAAAACUGUUAUUAAUCUAUCGGAUGUAAUGUCCAAUCUUUAAAAAGUUUUAACUCAGCUUUGAAAAAUUUAUUAAUUAUAUAUGAAGGGACUGCGGCGUUAAAUUACAGAUUUUAACACGUGAACUUUGUUAAAAAACUUAAUAAUUUAUUUUUAGAAGAUCAGUAAUUGAUCCGUUUAAGUCGUCCACCUAUAUAGACCACGGUCUAUACAAAAAGUAACAAACAUGUCAAAUUUUUCUACCUUUUGGUGCAUAGAUUCUUCUCUCGUAUAGUACAUGGAGUCAUCUCGCUGCGCAUUCAUAUCGGGAUUGAUCUCAACCGUCGGCAUUCCCCCCACUCAACUGGCCUAAUGUGCAUUUAUAGAAAACAGGAACUGCUACGAGUACACCAAAUGCUCCACCACAAGUGUUCCCCAACAAUUAGUGUUAAAUUGAAUGAGGACAACCCCUGUACUGUUUCAGGUUGCAACUUGGUCCUUUUACAUGUACCUUAAGCACUUCUCACCCUGAACUCGUACAUAAUUGCACGUACAAGAGUAACAAAAGAGCUGUUCAGCUAGAAAAGGACUUUUUUUACAUUUAGCUUCCUAACAAAUUCUUUUUAUACAAAUAAUCCUAGCAAAUUUAUAUUUACAUAUACGAUACUCUAUUUUUUCAUAUGAGGGUCAUGUUGAUAUUUUUAAAUUAAGCACGAUGAUUGAAUUAUCGUAUAUAUAUAUUCAUAUCCACAUUUUAGUCCCUCUUUUUAACUUAAGGGUAAUAAAAAAUACAAAAAAAAAUGCGGCGAUUGAAUCACCGUGUUCAGCUUAAACACACCAUCUUGACGCUCCCGUGGCGAGAAGAGGGCUAUUUAUAUAAAUAUAUACAUUUGUUAUGGUUAUUUAUAAAAAAAAAUUUAAGGGGACUAACUAAAAAAAAAAGCCCACAAGAAAAAUGAAUCCAAUUAAGAUGAAGGAUAGAAAAGUUUGAGAAAAUAAAGUCCUCUUCUAUGGAAGGGUUAAAUGCAUUUAUAUCCCUACAAACAUAGUAAAUUAUAAAUAUAUUUCUACAAAUUCAACUUUUAUAUAUUGUUCCUUCAAAAGUUCUAAUAUAUUCAAAUAUAUUUCUCUGAUUUGUUACCGAUAUAGAACUGUUUAUAUUUUCAGUAAAGUAAAAUGUCAAUUUUUCCAUCACAAAUAUAUCUCUCUACAAGUCACAACAAUAUAGUGUAUAAGAGGGACAAAAAUGCCAAGUUAUCUCAUAAAUUAACUAGAGUUAAGUAUUUAAGUAUUUAAUCUGUGGUUAACUAAAGUUUUAUAACAGAUUCUGCAAAGACAUGCAUAUCGAUAUCUGAAAACAUUAGAAUUUUUAUAGAAACAACAUAUGAAAGUUAAACUUUAUAGAAAUAUAUUUACAAUUCACUAUAUUUGUAGGGACCCGUAUAAAAUCAAUCCUCUAUAGAAAUAUAUUGGAUGUACUAUUAAUUAGAUUUAUUGCAUAAGCUACAGAGCCCAAACCAAAGAAAACUUGAUUUUGAAUGUUCCAAUCUGCCAACAAAUUGAGCUGAUUUUUUUUAAAAACCAAAUCAAAUUAACCAAUCUGAAUUGAAACUGAGAGUUUAUUGUUAGAUUUUUUCCCUUUUUUUUUCCUUUUGCACGCCAUUCCUUCAAUUUUUUUGCACAGAUUAAUUAAGUCACUGCUUUAAUUUUCUGCGUAAAUGUUGAGCAUUGGACUCCCCACCAAGUCAACAUAUACUGUUUAAACUUUGACUUUGAGAUUGGUAUAGUACAGAGUUGGAAAUUGAGGAGAGGAAAAAAAUACAAUAAAAUAAAAUGAAAUGGUGUUAGGUGCCAUAACACCAGAAUACGUCAAGCCCGAUAAUCAUGGCGCGGACCACGAGUUAGGUUAAACAUCAUUUACAAUUUUGUAAGCGUAGUUAAUUUUUGGGUGAGCCACAUAUUAACAAGUGCUUAUAUCUAAACUAUAUUGUUAAUUUAUUAUUAUAAGUAAUGAAUAAAUUUAUUUUAUUUAAGAUGAAUUUUAACUGAUUACUUAAUAAAUAGUAUACAGUUAACACCAUGCACUACAAUUAAUUAGAACAUUCUCUCUACACGAAUCAAAUUUUGCACGCUAUGAGUUUCUAAUUCAGUUUUUUGUAAUCUGAAAUAGCUUUACGUAAAAACAAAACCCUGUUAUUAAUUUUACUCUUUUUCUACCUAAUGCAUAGGAGGAGCUAUUUAAGUUUUUGUAUUUUUAAUUAGUACUAUUGUUUUUGACUUAAUUGUUUAUCAUGAUAUAUACAGUUGUAAUUAAAUCAGCCAACUGGAUGGAUGGAGUACGAACUUAAAAUUUUGUGUAUUAGUCUCAGCAAAACUUUUGUUUGUUUGCACUUCUUCUCCUAUGGUAUUUUGACUCUUUUUUGUAAAUGUUGUUUUUCUUUUUCGUAAUAAAAGUCUUAUUGAUUAUAUUUCGUAAGAUCAAUUGAUUUCUAAGGUUAGUGUAAAAUUGUUCUUUGAUCUCAUUUCAAUUUAUAAUUAAAAUUAGAUAAUUUUAUAUGAAAUAUUCUUUAAUGUCAUUUAGUAUGAAACUAAUAUUCUUUAAUGUCAUUUAGUAGGAAACUAAUAUUAAGAUCAAUUGAUGCACGAGCUACCGACUAAAAAUAUGUUUAGAUAAACUUAAUUAGUCAUUUUCAAUCUAAACCAUGAUUAAUCAGCAAGGUAGGACAAUUAACUUUUACAGCUAAUACAAGCAUGGAUGUCAAUGCAUCUCGACAAGCUAACUGCGUAAGUCGAAAUAUUUUCCAUACUUUGGAUGUCAUAUUUUCUUCACAAAAAUGCUUUUGAAAAUUGAAAUCCAUCUUUACCCUUUUCUUCUACUGCUUUUCAACUCCACUAGGGUUGCACAGCUACAUGAAUCACUUCGUUAAUAAAUAAAUAAAUAAAUAAAUAAAUGUAUACACGAGUAUUUGUUAUGUCGUCUAUGUUAGUGGUUCGAGAUGUCGUGUAUAUUUAAUUACAAAGAUAUUUCCAUAAAACAUUUAAUUGUUACGAUGGAUCUUAAUUAGUAUAAAUAAAUGCACAUUAAUUCUACGGCUAACUGGUGUUUCCUCUGGCUAAAAGGGACAUGUGAAUAUGUGAUUGAUCCGGAGCUUGCCCCAUCCAUGAGUAAAUACACUCAUCUUAAAUUGAGUAUCUGUUUCCCUCUUUUUCUCCAAUUUUUCUCUUCCUGAUCUAUCUAAGGAUUUAGUUCCUGAUGCUUUACUUAUAGCCCUAGGUGUUUCCCCUAGCUAAAACUAAAAGGGACAUGUGACUGAUCCAGGAGGGGACGUCGAUGCACGCAUUGUGGAUUUUUGUGAGUUGCUCUCAGUCUCUUUCACAUCACACAUCGCCAUGUAAGAACCUUCAAAUCUGAAAGACUUGUAUUAUUGUUGCUACUUGAAUGUGACGACCUCUUGUAUUAUUGUUGCUACUUGAAUGUGACGAUCUAAGAGGUACAAUUUUUUCUCUCAAUCAACUAUCGCCACUACUUCUUUCAAGAUUAGAAGGCGGCCGAAAAAUUUUCAUCCACAUAUAAUAGAGAAAUGAGAGAAAUGAUUCGAUACUUUCUUUUAUAAAAAAUAAAAAAAAAAUCUUAUCCGUCAAUCAAUAAAGAAUAAAGAUGUAAUUUUAAUAUUUAGUAAAGUUAAAAUCUUCAUUUGGAUUAUACUUCGCAAGAGAUUACCCACUGUGGAUAAAUUGAUCACUCGAGGGUGCCCUGUGGAUCAACAGUGCAUAUUUUGCGCGAUCUACCCAGAAAAUUAUGAUCACAUUUUCCGUGAUUGUGUCCUUGUCAGAUAUCUUUUUUGGCAUGAGGGACGGACAAAGCUGACGGAAGUACACCCGGGGGAUGUUCUGUGUUUAUGGAAUGACUCAAUGAGAUAUCUUGUAACCCCAACGCUGUGUCGACUGCGAAGAGGUUAACCCGACUGGCGGCGAUCUGGUGGGUUGUUUGGACUAAACGCAAUAAUACUAUCUUUCGCGACAUGCCUCCCAACGCAAACCGGGCCGCUGUUCGCGCUGAGCCUUUGUCGAAGGAUUGGACCGAUGUUCUGUGACUCUCGACUACACCUGCCCUAGUUACAUGCUUUUGUUUCCUUUUACAAAUUUUUGGCCUUUUUGUUUUUGUUUCCGUUGUUUUUUGUUCGGUCUUUCCAGGAGGCCCUAGCUGCUUCCACCUUGUAUGCGUAGUUCAUCAUGCUUAAUGAAUGAAGCAGGUAGCUUGCUAUCUUUUUCUCAAAAAAAAAAAUAAAUAAAUAAAUUCGAGCCGAACACGAGCGAGCUGAUCCCAAUUUGUGUUCGGCUCAUUAAGAUUUCGAGCUGAAAAAUUCAGCUCAUGUCCAACUCGUUUUUUAAACAAGCGAUCAAGUUUGAGCUUAUUUCGAGCCGAACACGAGUUGGCUUGCCAACUAGAUUGCUAACCCGACUUGCAACAUGCCUCAGGAGUCGGGAGGUCCUCAUGCAUCCGAUUAUUUGCAGUUGAUUUAAACGUAAUUUUCUAACUGAUUUCUAAUUAAUUGCUGAACUUCUGCAGCAUGUGUGGUACGCUUCAUUUCAUUUGAGUCAUGAGCGGAAUAUCUACGGUGCGAACUUAUUCAGAACGUAAAUACUCAAAAGGUGAAAAAAAAAAAACAAAAAACAAAAAACAAAAAAAGAGUUCAAUUUAAGAAUUUGAUGUUUCUUUCUCAAAUGGGCUAUACUCCUGUCUAAUAAAAAAUAACAAUAAUAAUAAAAGAAAAAGAAAUAGAAAGAAUUCUAAUUGGUUGGUAUUCAAGUUCCCAAGUUCGAAUCCUAGUUGAUUCACAUUUCCAGUUAAAUUUAUUUCUAAAAAAAAUAAACGAAGCGUAUAAUAUGCUACAUUUCUCUCAAAAANUUUAAAAAAAUUGUAAUGUUGAUAAAUAUUUAAAUUUAACAUAUUUAAUAUGUUUAAUAAAAUUAUAAAUUCAUCUUGUUUAGACAUUAAUUUUGUAUUACUAAUUUUAAAAAAUUGAAUGUGGGCAAAUAUUUAAAUUCGGCAUAUUUAAUAUAUUUAAAAAAAUUUAAGAAUUUUUCUAAUUUAGAUAUUAAUUCUCUAUCACUAUUUAAAAAUUUUAAUGUGGAUAAUUGAUUAGAAAUAUAGGGUAUAAUUCAAAUUUAUUCUUAGAAUAGAAUUAUAUGGGCAAAAUUAAUUCAAAUUUUUAAAUAUAAAUUUUAUCUUUGAAAUUUUAAUAGUAAAAAUUGAUCUUUUAAAAUAAUAAGAUCAUGUUUUAAAAUUUAAAAUAUAAGUUGAAAACAAAAUAAAUUUGAAGUUUAAAAGCUAAAUAGUAUACAAAAACCUCUAAUAAAUCUACAUAGUAUAGUGCUAUUUAAACUUACUAAUAAAUAAAUUUAGACUGUAUAAUUUAAAUUUUAAACUUAUAAUAAAUCUCCACCAUAGAGUUUUACUAUAGUAAACAAAAUUAGAAAUGUAGAUAAAUUAAAUAAACUUAUAUUAAACAAAUCUAAGCUAUUUAUAUAUUUUAUGAAUUUGAUCAGUCUAAUUAAUUUGAUUUAUUAAAUUGAUUUUGAUCUUAAUUUUAAAAUUUUUUAGUUUUUAGUCCAUUUUUUAAAUUUUAGUUCCUUACAAAUUGAAUUUGUAAAGAAACAAAGACAGAUAUAAAGGAAACAAAGAGAGAACAAAAAUAUUGAUAAUAUAGUAGAAAUAAAAUUACUAAAUUAUUUAUAUAUUAAAAGAUAAAAAUAUCCUUCCUUGAGAUAUGUGAUAACCGGUAUCUCUUCCAAAUUAGUGACCUACUAUUGCAUAUCACAAUUUUAAAAAAAAUUAAAUCUGAGCUAUUGAAGAUGAGUGAAUGAACGCCAGCGAAAAAUAACAGGUAUAAAAGCACUACUCCAUAUAAUAUUUCUACACCGUGCAAUUAUGCUUGAACAUGGAAUAAUAAUUUCAUUUAUAUUAUAGUAGUUUAAUUCACAUUGAAGUUAACUCGUUUAUAUGACAGAAUAUAUAUAUAUAUAUAUAUAUAUAUAUAUAUAUAUAUAUAUAUAUAUAUAUAUAUAUAUAUAUAUAUAUAUAUAUAUAUAUAUACACACACACACACACUAUGAGUUCGGCUACUAUAAUACUCUUAUAAGUAUAGAGCAUUUUGUACUCAUAAGUAUUUUGCCAUUAGAUCUACCCUUUAAUCAUUUUCAUCCGUUAGAUAAUACUAUUCAACUAAUCACCCACUCAACCCUAAGGGGCUCACUAUCAAUCUAAUCGUAACCACUCUCAUCCUAAACUUACAUUUUUUCAUCCGAAGGAUAAAAACUUAUGAGUACAAGGAGCUAUAUACUCAUAUGAGUAUAGUAGUCCCAGUCUAUAUACUAUCUGUAAAUAAUAUUUCUAGCCCAACUCACUAAAAGUUAUAGUAAAAAAAUUGUGUAAAAUUGGAAUAAAAGUAAUCCUUUGAGCACUCAACUUAGAAGAUCUCCUCAAUGGCUUCUUGGGUUGACAAAGUAAAAAAUUAUAAAGUUUCAAGGAAAAGUAAAAAAAGUCAUGAAGUGAUAAAAAUGUUUUACGAUUAUUAGAACCCAUGGCAGAAUCGUAAAUUGGGAAUGGGUCACAGCCUCGUGCCCGGAGUGUGUGACACGGUUGUUGUUUGGGUUGACGAAUUAAGAUCUACGUAGAACCUUUAUUUAUUUAUUUAUUUAUUUAUUAAAGCUUUUGCUUCAGGGACACGUGUCGAAAUCUGGGGUGUGGUUGUCCAUGAAAGUUGAUCUCUUCAGGAAGAAUAAUCUGCUUGGCUUUUCUCCUACCAGUCUCCCAGGAAUUAAGAAAGAGGGAGAUCGAUGCCCCUUCCAGAAACAAAAAAAAAUAAAAUCUGAUUUUAUUAUCUCUUAAAGUAAAUAUACAUCGACCAACUUAUUUUACUACUGGUGAUAGAGUGCUAGACUAGCUUGUUGUUUUUUUUUUUUUUUUUUUGGGUAAGGCAAAAUGUCUAGAAAACUCUCUCAACUGUAGGACAUUCCAAAAUACAUCUUCUAACUAAUUUUACUUUAUUGGUACAUGCUAAGAUUUUGAUUUUUCAGUUUACAUUGUUUUCGCCAGUGAAAUAUGAAAUUUUGUUAUUAAUUCAACCGCCUUCGAAUUCCUUUUUAGACGAUGAAAAUAUGAAUUUUGUUAAUUGUUGACGAACUGCAAUUACCAGAGGUGUUAAUUUAAACAAAACUUUAAUUUAGUCUAUAUAUAUAUAUAUAGGAAACUAAUUCAAAUUAAAACCAAUCAAAGGUUGAGUAGUAGUUUAAAGGGAAAAAAAAGAAAGAAAGAAAGAAAAAGUUUUGAGGGUUUAGUGCAAAAUGGCCUACGUUUGAGUGGUGUCUCCGUGCAUUUUAACCUUUCCUUUGUAUAUAAUAAAAGGUGUACGUAGCUUAAUUUGAUACAUAUAGGCUUAUGACAAUUGACAAUGCUUGGAGACUAAGAAAAUAAGGGACUAAAUUCCAACGAGACCUUCUUAGCUAAGAAAUUUCUACAUGUCAUUAUAUUCCCUCACAUUUCUCAUUGACAAAUAUUGGAAUUAAUUUAAUCAUCAAAUUGGAACACUUAAUUAAUUAACCUAGCAUUUAUUUUCACAAUGGUAAUCUUAAAGCCUUUUUAAUGUAGUUUCUCUUUUCUUAAUGCUCAGUGGUCACUCGAAACGUGCCCUAUAUUUUACUUAUUUAGUAGUUAUUCAUUGUCAUGUAUAUUUUGCUCAAAUAUUUAGUACUUCAAAAUCUAAACUGGAAUUAAACAUGAAAGCCUAAUUAAUUAGUACUUUUAUAUAUAUAUAUANCUUUACUAGUUUCUUUAUCUAGAUUGUCAUUUUUUGAAUACUCAUGUUUCUCAUGAGAUUAUCGGCUUGUGUGUGUGUGUGAGAGAGAGAGAGAGAGAGAGAGAGAGAGAGAGAGAGAGAGAGAGAGAGAGAGAGAGAGAGAGAUAUAUAUAUAUAUAUAUAUAUAUAUAUAUAUAUAUAUAUAUAUUAACUCAAUCUUAUGAAAAUGUUCAUAGUGGGGGAACUACGAUAAUCCAAAAUAGGUAACCUAAAUGAGGAACUAAUGAUUAUCGAGAACCUAGUUUGUGAUAAGGUGGAUGGUGGUGGAUGGUGGUGGAUGGUGAUAGUAGAGUUGGAGUGUAGAGAGGUAGGUUAUCGAGUUUUGAGUUUUCGUGGUGAAAGUAUCACGAAAACUUUCAUAAGAUCGAAAUGAGAUAUAUAUAUAUAUAUAUAUAUAUAUAUAUAUAUAUAUUUUACAUGAUGAGAUGCCGUUCUCGUUUAAGCUUUUAUCUCUCUCUACAGUUGCCCAGCCUAAGCCUCGCCUAAAAAUUUUUGAGCUUGGACUUGGGCUGAGGUUUGGGUUCUAGAUGGUCCAUCUCGCCAGAAGUACCUGCCACACGAUCACAGAGGGGGUUGCGCCCCCACAUUCUGGCGGGCAAAAAAAAAAGGAGAGUUUGGCUCGCCUUUUGCUUUUGAAACCAAAAAGAAAAGUAAACAUUUUAAAAAAAAGAUUUUAAAAAAAAUGCUCGUUUGUUUGUAAUAUUUAAAUGAAUAGUUGGCUUUUUUUGUUUAAAAUCCCACUAAAAUGUCCGUUCGGGAACUCAUUACCAAGAAAGACCAAUGAAUUAUUAAUUCGUAGAUCCGCAUUCAAAUCUGUGUACAUACUGGUAAGUAUAGAAUUAAUAAACCUGCAUAAUAAUAUUCGGUUAAAACAUACUGGAGUCAGAGGUUAACUUUGUUUAAUAAUACUAAGUUACAUAAAUUAAUAUUCUUCAGAUUACAUUUCAUGUAUUAAAUAUAAAAAAUUUUAUAUGAAUAUAAAUUCCAUGACGGGCAAACGGUGUAUUCAGUGGUUCUACUAAGAGAUAUCAUGAUUUCAUACAAAGAAAACACCCAGGUAUUCUCACGAUAAACUUAUUUGGAGAAGAAAUUUUCACCCGUUAGAUCAUACCAUUCAACCAACCACCCAGUUGAGUUAGAAUACUAUUGAUAGUAAACGAGCCGUUUUACUACCGAUUUGUUUUCGAUGAUAGAGCUUCCAAAUUGACGAUCGGCUCCGUUAAAUAUGAUCUAAACCAUUUAAACUACCUAGAAAUCAAAUUUCACGCACUUUCGAUAUUGUUAUUUUAUCCAUCAAGUGAACAGAAAAAUAAAUGGCUGAAAAUAAAUAUUCUUUAAAAAAUGAUGAUAGGAGUCUUGUAAUCAAGAUCAAGAGUAUAGAUCUUGUUUUAAAUAGUUUAAAUAAUCUUUUAACAAAAAUUCAAUUGAUUUGGAUACCUUUACGCCGUUAAACGAAAAAACGCCUCUUAUCGACCAUUAAAAUUACAAAGUUUGAAACCCUUUGAUCAUUAGACAAAUGAUGUCGAAAAAAUUUGAAAUUUGAUUUUUAAACACUUCAAGUGGUAUAGAUCAUGUUCAACGGAGCCCAUUGUCAAUUUGGAAGCUUUAUCAUCGAAAACAAAUAGGUAGUAAAACGGCUCGUUUACUAUCGAUAGUAUUCUAGCUCAACUCUCUCUCUCUAUAUAUAUAUAGAGAGAGAGAGAGAGAGAGCAUGAUCGAUCGGUCCCAUUAGACUUGAUCUCUCGUAUUUGAAGUAUCUAGAAAAUAAAUUUUAUCAUUUUUUACUGUCAUUUACCUAGCGAUUGAAAGAGUUCAAAAUCAAUAAUUUUUAAUGGUUAAUGUUUACCGUUUUCAAGUUUAACAGUGUAGAAGUACCCAAAUCAAGUAAAUUUUGAUAGAAAUUUUUUUUAUACUAUUUACAAUAAGAUCAAUAUAUCUGAUCUAAAAUUUUAGUGUCAUAUUACCAUUUUUUUUAAGAUUUUUAUUUUUAGCCGUUGAUUUUGAAAUCUUUGAAUCGCUAGGUAAAUAAUAUCAAAAAAUCGUAAAAUUUACUUUCUAAAUACUUUAAAUACGUCAGAUCAAGUCUAACGGAGCCGAUCGUUGAUUCAAAAUUUUCAUUAUAAAAAAUGGCUUGGCAGCACGAAGGCCUCCGUGCUCUUAAAAGCACGGCAACUCUCUCUCUCUCUUUUGAUAUAUAUAUAUAUAUAUAUAUAUAUAUAUAUAUAUAUAUAUAUAUAUAUAUAUAUAUAUAUAUAGUUGGACUGGGCUACUAUUAGUAGCAAAAUUCCAUUGUUGCUACCAGUUUUUUAGCCUUUGGAUCAACUCUUUUCAUUAUUUCUAACCAUUGAAUUAAAUACUAUAACCCAGUGGGAACCACUUAAUUCUAGGAGGACCACUCAACUCUAACCGACUAAUAUCAUCCUGACCUUACAAUUUUUCAUCCAGGGAUUAAAAACUUGAUAGCAAAAAGCACGUUUUACUAUUAAUAGUAUUCCAGCCUAAUUCUAUAUAUAUAUAUAUAUAUAUGGAUGGCUUUUCGAAAAGCCAAAAUCAAAAUUCUAAUUAUUACAAAUUUUAGACUUCUUUGCUAACUUUUGAACAUAUACGAAGAGUUCUUUAUUGCAAUUUUUUAUUUCUCUACAAAAAAAAAAAAAGAAAAAAAGAAAAAAAAGAAGAGGUUUAUUCAAAUAGCACUCUUAUGGACCCACAAAAGAAACAUACUUUAGUACUAUAGAGAAUCAUCUUGGUGACUUAUGUGGCAAACGGGCAGUACCUUAAAUAUAAGUAUAUUUUAAAAAAUAUAAAUUAUGUACUUUACAUUAGACUUCUUAUAAUUAAAUACAUUGAAUCAUAAUAAUUUGUUUCAAUUGGAGACUGAGGUCAUACAAAAUUGGCUUAUAAUAAUACGUCCAAAUAAUUAAGAUAUGAAUGGUCAUACAUGUGUCUAAACUUACGCCUAGAUGCUUAAUUAUUAAGUAACCAGAAAGAACCAUUACUCAAGGGCUUGCCUGUAAAAUCACCCUAAAAUUUGUUUUUUUCGGUUGAUAAGUAAAUUUAUAAUGUUUGUUUGCUCGUAAAAAAAAUUUUAGAAAAAAAAUUUUACAAAUGAAAAGAAAAACCAAAGUUUUCGUUUUCCGCUCGGUUUGAGAGGAAAAAAAAAACGGGCGGUCUUACACCCCCGCGUUGGGGGAGACACUAGCACACCGUCCAUGAAGACCGCUCUACCUGGUAGAUCUUGGGUUUGGAGUCGGGUUCAGGUUCGAGUUUUUAAAAAUCCGCUCCGAAUCCGACCCGUUGACAUCUCUCUCUAUUUUCGAAUUUGCUCUUGCCGUAGAGUAGUACAUUUUAUAUAUAUAUANNNNNNNNNNNNNNNNNNNNNNNNNNNNNNNNNNNNNNNNNNNNNNNNNNNNNNNNNNNNNNNNNNNNNNNNNNNNNNNNNNNNNNNNNNNNNNNNNNNNNNNNNNNNNNNNNNNNNNNNNNNNNNNNNNNNNNNNNNNNNNNNNNNNNNNNNNNNNNNNNNNNNNNNNNNNNNNNNNNNNNNNNNNNNNNNNNNNNNNNNNNNNNNNNNNNNNNNNNNNNNNNNNNNNNNNNNNNNNNNNNNNNNNNNNNNNNNNNNNNNNNNNNNNNNNNNNNNNNNNNNNNNNNNNNNNNNNNNNNNNNNNNNNNNNNNNNNNNNNNNNNNNNNNNNNNNNNNNNNNNNNNNNNNNNNNNNNNNNNNNNNNNNNNNNNNNNNNNNNNNNNNNNNNNNNNNNNNNNNNNNNNNNNNNNNNNNNNNNNNNNNNNNNNNNNNNNNNNNNNNNNNNNNNNNNNNNNNNNNNNNNNNNNNNNNNNNNNNNNNNNNNNNNNNNNNNNNNNNNNNNNNNNNNNNNNNNNNNNNNNNNNNNNNNNNNNNNNNNNNNNNNNNNNNNNNNNNNNNNNNNNNNNNNNNNNNNNNNNNNNNNNNNNNNNNNNNNNNNNNNNNNNNNNNNNNNNNNNNNNNNNNNNNNNNNNNNNNNNNNNNNNNNNNNNNNNNNNNNNNNNNNNNNNNNNNNNNNNNNNNNNNNNNNNNNNNNNNNNNNNNNNNNNNNNNNNNNNNNNNNNNNNNNNNNNNNNNNNNNNNNNNNNNNNNNNNNNNNNNNNNNNNNNNNNNNNNNNNNNNNNNNNNNNNNNNNNNNNNNNNNNNNNNNNNNNNNNNNNNNNNNNNNNNNNNNNNNNNNNNNNNNNNNNNNNNNNNNNNNNNNNNNNNNNNNNNNNNNNNNNNNNNNNNNNNNNNNNNNNNNNNNNNNNNNNNNNNNNNNNNNNNNNNNNNNNNNNNNNNNNNNNNNNNNNNNNNNNNNNNNNNNNNNNNNNNNNNNNNNNNNNNNNNNNNNNNNNNNNNNNNNNNNNNNNNNNNNNNNNNNNNNNNNNNNNNNNNNNNNNNNNNNNNNNNNNNNNNNNNNNNNNNNNNNNNNNNNNNNNNNNNNNNNNNNNNNNNNNNNNNNNNNNNNNNNNNNNNNNNNNNNNNNNNNNNNNNNNNNNNNNNNNNNNNNNNNNNNNNNNNNNNNNNNNNNNNNNNNNNNNNNNNNNNNNNNNNNNNNNNNNNNNNNNNNNNNNNNNNNNNNNNNNNNNNNNNNNNNNNNNNNNNNNNNNNNNNNNNNNNNNNNNNNNNNNNNNNNNNNNNNNNNNNNNNNNNNNNNNNNNNNNNNNNNNNNNNNNNNNNNNNNNNNNNNNNNNNNNNNNNNNNNNNNNNNNNNNNNNNNNNNNNNNNNNNNNNNNNNNNNNNNNNNNNCACCGUCCAUUUUGACAUAAUUUAUUUACUAAGUAAACGAUAUCGAAAAAAACUAAAAUUUUAUUUUUAAGAACUUCAUAUACCCUAGAUCAUAUUUAACGGUGUGGAUCGUUAAUUUGAACGCCCUAAGAUCGAAAAUAACACUAUAGUACGGGAGUUCCCGUACUAUAGAUAGUAUAGUAGCCUAAUUCUAUAUAUAUAUAUAUAUAUAUAUAUAUAUAUAUAUGUAAAUUUUAUACGGGACCCAUCCCAAGGAUUACAAAAUCUUUUCCUGUUCUAAGUAUUAAAACAAAACACCGAUAUAUAAAACUAGUAAGAAAAUAAUAGUUUUUGAUAAGUGAGGUGUAAGAUCUAUAUAUAGUCUAUAGAUGCAUAGGUAGAUAGUACUACUCAUAGUUAGAGUUUUCAGUGAAUAAUAUUAGAGGGCGAUGAUGGGUUCAUUCAAUUGUCCUUUAUGUCACUCUUCUUUUUUUUUUUGAGUAAAGGUGUGUCUGGUGGCUGAAAAUUUUUUUUGGAGAAAAAUAAAUUUUAUGCUCUUUAAUGUUUGAUUUGUAGGAAAAAAAAAUAAUUUUCUAUUACAGUUAUUUGAUUGAAAGAAAAAAAAAUAUAAAUAAAAAGUUAUUAUAUAUAUUUUCUCUUAUUCUAUAUAUUAUGUAUAAUUAAUAUAUAAUUGCAAUUGGCUCACCAUGGUCAUUAAAAUUAUUGAUUUUGAGCCACUUCGAUCACUAGGCAAAUGAUAUCGAAAAAUCACAAAAUUUAUUUUCUAGAUACUUUAAAUACUCUAGAUCAAGUCUAACGGAGCCAAUCGUCGAUUCGAAAGUCCGAACAUCAAAAACAAAGUGGAAGCACGGAGUCCUCCGUGCUUCCAUAAGCAUCCUAGCCAUAUAUAUAUAUAGUCCGAUUGGGUUACUAUCGAUAGCACCAAAGGAUUGGUGCUAUCGAGUUUUCGACCGUUAGGUUUAACCCUUUGAUUACUUUUAUCCGUUAAAUUAUACUAUUCAACCAAUCACCCACUCAAUGAUGGAGGCUCACAUUAUUCUAACCGCAUAUUUCUCAAUUAAAUGACUAAAAAACUAAUAGCAUAAAUAGCUUGGUGCUAUUGAUAUAUAGUAUUCUAACCUAAUUCUCUCUCUCUAUAUAUAUAUAUAUAUAUAUAUAUAUAUAUAUAUAUAAGCUAGGGCUAUUAUACUCAUAUGAGUAUAGCCCCUUUGUACUAAUAAGUUUUCGACCAUUGGAUGAAGAGAUGUGUGGUUAUGAUGAUAGUAGUCUUCGGUUAGGUUAAAAGCAGUCCGCUAGGGUUGAGUGGGUGGUUGGUUGAAUAGUAUAAUCUAACGGGUGAAAAUGAUUAAAGGGUAGAUCAAACGGUAAAAAAUUUAUGAGUACAAAAGGCUCUAUACUCAUAAGAGUAUAGUAGCCGGACUCUAUAUAUAUAUAUAUAUAUAUAUAUAUAUAUAUAUAUAAAAUACAAAAUAAAUUCGGAUUCGGGUCGGGUUCGGGUUCGGGUUCGGGUCGGGUACAAUCAAAAUCCAUAUCCGAAUUCAUAUUCGUCGGACUUUUAUUUUUUAUAUCCAUAUCCAAAUCCAUACCCAUAUCCAUCGGAUAUUUUCGUUUCAUUCGGGUUAAGGUUCUGACAAAAUUUCGGGUAUCCAUACCCAUUGACAUCCGUACUCGAAAAUUACCAUUACUUCUUCUUCUUCUCUUCUGUUCGAAUGGAGAGCUUAACCCCGGCCCGGCACCGUGGCCCUACAGUUCUGUCUGGGAGUCAAACCCAGAUUCCGAUCAAAAGCCAUGCUUUUAGUUAUUAAGGUGUGAAAAGAAUUCGUUUUUUCUUUGUGGGUCAAAUUUAUUCGCCCUCGACAGCUCAUUUUAAGAACGCAUAGCUAGCGAGGAAUACUGUCCAGCGAAUUAAACAUAAAACUUUGAAAGCAUUUUUCAUACACCUUAUCGAGUGGAGUUAUGAUUCCAACAUGUGAUCUUGCUUUCAAGAACUGUUAACUUUGCCAAACCAUGCAUGUUUCCUUUUUUUUUUUUUUUUUUUGUUUCCUUGUGCUUGUAAAGGUGACAUGAAAGAUUCCAAAAACAAUUAAUGGAGCUGGCUAGGUAGCAAACAAACCUUUGAUGUUACUGUCGCUAGAUUCUUCUUCACGCCAUUAAUUGGCUUCAAAUAGUAGAUUACACUCAAAAGUACUUAACCACAAUUAAUCCCCCUCCCCCUCCCUAGAUCUCUUUCUUGUUCGAUCUCCUUUCCCUUUCAAAUGGACUAACAAGAGAUGCUAAUUAAGCUUCGUCAUUUUGGACAAGGACAUACACUAAGAGCUUCAUUUAACCCUUUUGAUUUACUCAGCAGCCGACUUACCUUUAUCGUUACGCUUAAUUAACCAGUCAUUUUUCUUAAAAACAUCCCUCAAAUUUCAAGAAAAUUAACUUUUAGUUCGUACGUACGUAGAUAAUCCUUCUCUGAAACAUAUUAACCCUCGAAGUUACCUGUAUAUCGUAAAGUCUUGAGCUUGUUUAAUUAUUUUGCCCCACAUAUACAAUCUUUGUCAUUUUGUAAGAGCUUAAGAUUUUGGACGUAAAAAAAAGCAUCCAUGGUUAUAUAUAAUUUCGAGUUUAAUUAAUCCAUUCAAGUAAAAAGUUAUGGACUAAUUAAGUUUCAAAGCAUCGAACAUAUAUGCAAAAAAAAAAAAAAAAAAAAAAAAAACCUCUUGGAAAUACUUACUAAGUUCUUAAAUUAAUCUACUUAAGUGAAAGGUUAUGGAUUAAAUUGUAAUCCGCCAAAAGUUAAUUCGGAGUUAAUUACCAUGUGAUCGAUUAUACUACCUUACUAAAAAUUAAUAGUAAUACUGCUCUUUUGGAAGUUCUUAAUUAGCUAGUUGUAAAGUGACAAAUUCAGCUUGCUAAUCUUGACCAAAGCAAUUAGUACUUGCAGAAAUUUAAGCCUCCAUUUGGCUUCCCAGCAAUCAUUUUCAACCACAUGACUAAUUAGUAAGUGUCAUAUUUUGAAACACUCUGGCUAUCGACUUCGCCGCCGUCUAUGUAAGUUCCAUUCCAAGGAAGCGAGAAAAAUAUUUAUUUCCGUAAUAAAAAAAAAUUGGUGGGCAUAUUCGGUUGUGCUUCUACUUCUGUUUUUGUCGUGCAGAUAAAUAUACAGUCUUUAGUAGAUAUAAUUUUUCAAAAAAAAAAAAAGAGAUUGAAAAAGUAAGAGCUGUAAUUUGAUGUUUCUGUUUCUUUUGUAAGGAAAGUAGAGGGGAGGAGGAGUUGCAGGAAUUUUAAUAUGGCGUGGAUAUCUCCUGAUUAAUUAUAUCACUGCUCGGUAAAUAGUUCUAUUGUACCCAACGCAGCAGGACUAAUAACAAGCCUCUUAAGUCGAUUCAUGAACGUGUACAUCAUCGAUCUAUUUCCGUUAAGGGAAUCUUCUUAUAGCUAGGAAAAUUAACAGGUGCUCCUUCAGAUGAAUAAAAGCAAGCGUGCCUACGUGAAUUGCACGUGUGCAGCGCAUUAGUUGCGUAAUAAAUGAAAUUAUGAAAGUACCAGAUGAGGAAGCGCUAAAAAUGACCCGCGUUUGUUUUCUUCGAAAGAGACAAUUGUGAGUCGUUCCAAAGUACGUGGCAUGUUUAUUUUUCAAACGAAUUUGGUACUUAGAUCACAUUCCCAGUGCGAAGAUCAUAACAAUUUGGUCUCUCCAACAAUUAAACUUAAUUCUUUUUGGCCCGUCAUUUAAAAAGUUUGCUAAUAGGCCCCGUUUGGUUGGAGGGAUAAGCGGGGAUAAUGAAAGUUAUCCCCGCUAUUCCGCCAAACGGGGUGAAAUUUGGCCAGGAUAUUUUAUCCCGGUCAAACCUUGCUAUUCCCGAUUAUCCCGGAAUAGCAAGGAAUUUGCUAUUCCACCAUUUUGAUGGAAUAGCACUAUUCCAAUACUUAAUUUCAAACUUAAUUAAAAUUAUAAAUUGAAUUAAAACUAAAUUAUAUAAAUAUAAUAUGUUAUAUAUUAUAAUACAAUAUUUUUAUUAUAAAAUUAUUAAUUGUAAUAUAUUAAUAUAUAAAAAUUUUAUUCUUAUCCCCACCCUUGUUAAUUAUUUUUGAUAAAUAAUAUUAUUUAAAUAUUUAAAAAAAUUUUAAGAUGAAUUUGAAUUUAAAAUUUUUUAUUAAAUAAUAUUUUAAAUAAUAUUAUAAAUUUAUAUUUAUUAUACNAUCAUACUUAUUCUGCUAAAUACACCCAAAUAUGUUAGAGAUAACUUAUUUUGGUCAAAAAGGAUUGUUCCUUAUUAUUUUGAAAUAACCCGUUAAAGAACUAUUCUCCCUAAUAGGACUAUUCUUCAGCUUAUCCUUCGUCUAAUUGUUCUCUCUCUUCGCAACACUUUCCUCUAUUCUUUACUAUAGUUAAAACAAAUAACCAAACAUAAUUUUGACUAUUCUAGGCCCCCUUUGGUUCAAGGGAUAACGAAAGUUAUUCUCACUAUUCCGCCAAACAGGAUGAAUUUUUACCGGAAUACUUUACCGGAAUAUUAUUAUUUUUUAUUUAUAAAAAUCCACUAUCUUUCUUAAUCCAUCUUACCUAACCAAACGCUAUUUUUUUUAUUCCCAGGAAUAACCCAAUUUUCAUCCAAACGCAAAAUUGAUCUAAUCCCCGCUUAUACCUCAAUUUAUACCUAUCCCUGGAAUAGUCACUUUUUUCUUAUCCUCGAACCAAACGAUACCUAAAAGUUUAAAAUUCUGGCACCAAAUCUAAAGCCGAGGUUAAAAUUUAGGGACCAAUAUUGUGAAACAACCGUUGCAUUCUACAAGCUUAAGUUAUUAAAAAAUUCAGAGACUUUUUAUAAAUUAACCCAUUAGUGGGAGGAACUUAAUUAUAUUAGGAGCUUGGUAUGAUUCGAAUUCAGGGCCUCUAAAAGCUUAAGCUAGCUAGGGACCAGUAUUGUGAAACAAUCGUUAUGCUGUUGUUGAUGCCAAAAUUGAAAUUAACAUGCCGACCUAACCCACCUAUGAGCCAAUAAGGACACGUGGUACACCAGGAGUCGGCAAUAAGGCACCUAAAGAUUUUAGGCGGGAACGGUUGAGAAGUGGGGCGUAACUUCUACGAUAGGGCGUAACUUCUGUGAGUAGUGGGCGUAACUUCCACGAUCAUGGUUACAACCAUUCCCCCCACUACUUUCAACCAGUCAAUAAUGUGGGUUGAUAUUACUAUAAAUAGUAAUUUCGAAGCCUGCAAUAGGGGUCUUUCUCCCACCUAAACGAGAAGGCCACCUUUAUUUUCUCUACAAUUUUAUCGCUUUUCUAUGAGUAGUCUACAUGUAAUCUUUUUCUUUUCCGCAUUUACUGUUUUUCUAUGAGUAGUUUUUAAAUUAGAUCUUUAGAGUCUGUAUGCCUCACGGGCACAUUCUGUUGUAAACUAAAUUUUCAGAGUCUGUAUGCCCUUUGGGCACACUCUAUUUUAUUAAUAUAUAAAAGCAUUCGGCUCUUUCAGCCGACCGAUCACUAUGUAUUUCAUAUAUUCGGCUCAUCAGUAGACUCAAAACUCUAUGCAUUUUAUUAAUUCGGCUCAUCUAGCCGAACCGAUUCUACAGUAAAAAUUUUCGAACUCGGCUGAUCCUAUCUCUCAUCAGCCGAAUCGUUUGAUCAAUCAAAGGACGCGAACUUCGAUGGUCAGUACCAUAAACCGUUUUCAUCCCAACACGUUCCUCGAGGAGGAUCUUUGGCCGGGUCAAGGGUCGGGGAUUUCGGCAACCUAACAACUGUAAAAGCUUAAGCUGUUGUUUAUAUAUUUAUAUAUAUAUUUAACAAAUAUAUAUUGAUCAAAAUUGUGAAAUCAAUUAGGUACAAGUUCGCAUAUAUUGAAUUACUCGUGAGGAUGAAUUAGAAGCAUAAAGCUCAAACUUUGGGGACAAGACAAUUUCAUAUAUAUUAGGCCUUAAAAACAUUUGUAACAACAUAUUUGUGAUGUGAAAGCCUGAGUUAAUUUCACUCUCGGAGAGGUGCAUGAAAAAGUCAGAAUAUUACAACAGAAGAGAACCGUUAUAUAAAUUAUGGUGAGAAGAAUGGUUUUGUUAUGUUAGACUUUUCCCACCAAUCGAGGUCUACAUUUUCUGCCACUAAUGGUUGAGAUUGACAAAUUUUACGUCUCUAUUUUUUUUUUUUUUUUUCGAACUAUACAAUUAAUAUAUACUUUAUAUUAAAUAUUGCACACAUUUUUCAUGAGAAAACACCAAGAAAAAUGCAGCCAUAUAGCGACACUAUAAUUUAUGCUCUCUAUCUUUUUUUUUUUCUUCCUUUUGUUAUUAUCUCAAAGCUAAAAAUUAAGAACACAGCUCAAUUAAUUCUCAAAUUUAAAAUAUGACUAUGUCUCUUACCCGAUCAGAUAAGACUGUUAAGUUUUCUUAUUAGCACAUCACACACACAGACACGAGCAUAGAGAGAGAGAGAGAGAGUCCCUAAACUAAGGCUCUGUUUGGAUGUCAGAAUAAAAAUCUUCGCACGAAUCAAUUAUUCAGUAUAAAUAUUCUUUUUGUACGAUCGAUUGAAAGAUAACAAUUUUAUUUUUAUUCUUGAAAAACACUAGGCAUCCAUAUAUAAUUUAAUAAAACAAUAUAUUUCAUCUGCAAAAUAAUUUACUAGAAUUUAGUAUUCACGUUAAAUGGCAUGAGAGAUAAAUGAAGAUUAGCUAGAAAUGAAAAAUGCUCCUUAAUUAAAUGGUAGAAUAGUUACUUCCACAGAAAAAAUUAAUCUAACUAUGGAGAAAAAUAAAUUUGCAAGAUUCCACUGUAGAUAAAAAUUCUUGAGGAUAUACAACCCUCAAUUUCACUAAUUUACAGGAAUGUAUGGGCUUUUUAUUUUUAUUUUUUAACAACUGAGGCCCCUGUACUUUUAGCUUUGAACUUCUUUUUUUUUGUGAGAGAUAGGUAGUUCGCUAUCCGCUUUGUUUAUUUUAUUUAGAAAUAAACUUAGCUGGAAAUAUAAAUCAAUUAGGAUUCGAACUUAGGUCUUGAGUACUAAUCAUCAAAUCUUUUGCCACUUGCUUUAGGGACGGUCGGUAACUUUAUUAAUUUAUUAUAUUUGUCUUCCUCUCAUAGAUCACAUGUCUCUUUUCCUGCAUAUCCUGAUUCCUCUCUAUAAAAAUCCUCCUACCCAACCACCUCAGUUCCAUACUUAACUCUCUCUCUCUCUCUUCCUCCCUCCCACCCUUUUCUCUCUCUAUAUAUCUACAAAUAUACACGUCUUUUAUCUCUCCUCUUCUAUAUUAUCCUUAAUUUAUACACCCAUCAAAAUCUAAGCAAAGGUGUAAUAAAUUGCGCGAGAAUAUACACAGGAGCUAAUGGAGGACCAUGAAAGGGUCGCAUGCUCAAAGGGGCAAAGUGAUCAGGAGGAGGAGAUGGAGCUCAGGAGAGGACCAUGGACAAUGGAAGAGGAUCUUAUCCUCAUCAAUUACAUCGCCAACCACGGCGAGGGCCGAUGGAAUUCGCUAGCUCGAAGUGCAGGUACUAAUUAAUCACCUUUUUGUUCUUAUAACUAGUAUGACAAUAUUGAAAGAACAUACAUAUACACCACCUGCACCUGCGCUGAUGCUAGGGUUCCUUGCAACAUGAAUGAAUGAAGCCUAGCUAGUUAAUUAACUAAUCAUCUUCAUGAGAAUGUUAUUGGUGAUCUCUUCUUAAUUUUUCUCCUAUUGAGCUAAUUAAGUUGAAUAAUGGGGAUCUUAAUUACAUUUCUAUCUAUCUUGUAAUUAAGCUACAUAUAUGGGCCUCGGUUAAAGAAUUUUGUUUAGUUAGUGGAUAAGAUUAAUUAAUUACCAACAAAAACAAAAUAGUGCAUAUUGAAUUAAGAUCUCUUUUGGUUGUCACAAGUAAAAUGAACAGCUGCCUCCCUGCAUAUCUCUCUCUGUUUAUCUCUCUCUGAUCUAUGUAUGUUUGUACGUACGAAUGCGAUCGAUAUGUACAUAUCCAUGCAUAUAUAUUAUUUCAGUAACCUAAUUCUGAAUUUUCAUGAGCUUUAGGCCUAAAACGAACCGGGAAGAGUUGCAGGCUACGUUGGCUCAACUACCUUCGCCCCGACGUUCGGCGCGGUAACAUCACCCCAGAAGAACAGAUCCUCAUCCUUGAACUUCAUUGCCGGUGGGGGAACCGGUAAUGCCAUAAUUAACCUCAAAAUCUAAUUAUAUCCAAUAUACGCGCAUAAACAUAAGCAUAAGUCUACAUAUAUAUAUAUAUGUAUGUAUUUAUGCAUAAAUAUACGUGUAUGUAUAUAUAUACAUAGAUGUAAAUUUUCUGUGCAUAGUAAUUAGAAAAGCAGCAUAUUCAAUAGCAAGUACCAAUCUACAUCUUAAUUCGUGUCUUCAUUCACCGACCACUUUGCCAUUACAUGAAUGGGGACCAUAUGUAUAUUCCAUUAGAAUUGGACGGAACAUUGGAAUGUUGUGAAGAACAAUAUGGCCAAGAAUUCUAAAGUAAUUAACGAGUUUCUUAUCCUCCAAGGACCAAAAAAGGAUCCUCCACAAAUCAAACCUCGCACGUUUCUCUCUCCCUCUCUCUCUUCUUUUCUUAAUUUUCUUUUGAAUUAUACCAACAGGUGGUCGAAAAUAGCGAAAUACCUGCCUGGAAGGACCGACAACGAAAUAAAGAAUUAUUGGAGAACCAGAGUGCAAAAACACGCGAAGCAGCUCCAGUGCGAUGUCAACAGCAAGAAGUUCAAGGAUGCCAUGCGGUACGUCUGGAUACCCCGUCUUAUAGAACGCAUUCGGGCAGCCUCGGGCAGCACUUCUUUCGUUGCACCGGGCGUCACCGACCUACCCGUCACUUGCCCGGAGAUCUCCGACGCGUCCGGCUCGCCGCCUGACUCGUCCGGGACUUCGCUAUCCUCGCCUCCGGUUGCGGAAUUCUCGGAAUCCUUCGACAACUGGCAUAGCACCCUUGUGCAAGGGGGUGAGUUUAAGGAAGGUGAUGGGAUCCAUGAGACCCAAAAUGACAACGAGUGGAUUGAGUCAAUGAUGAUCAGCCAGGGAGGCUAUGGCAAGCAAGAAGUAUUCGAAUUUGAGGAAAGUGGAUGGGAAGGUGGGUUUUCUGACAAUUUGUGGAGUUUGGAGGACAUACUGUUCAUGCACCAAUAAAUUCAAUUGCAUGCCCUUUCAAAAUCUAUAAAAUAUCAUAUAUGCAUGUCUCUCUCUCUCUAAAUUUACAAAUUUAUCACAAAUGUCCCUGCCAUUAAUUUUCUUAAUUAAACUUGUUUGGAUUAAAAGGAUACUUACUAUAUGCUAAUUAAGUUAAUAAAGUGACAAUUUUACACUCAACUAUUUGAUCUUGUAGGGCAAAAUAUUUAUACAUGCUGUUUUUUUCAUUUAAUUUUACAACUUAUGGCACGAAUUUUUAAUCCCUUAUCAAAUGCGUGAUCUAUGUAUCACUUUUAUUUGAUUUUUUUUUUCCUUACAAAAAUAAUGUUAAAGUUAUAAAAAUUGCUUUCCUAUUGAUAAGCUUACUAAGUUUUUAGCUUAUUGGGGGUAAAAAAUAAAAUUUUAAAACUGAUCUAUUAAAUUUUAAAUUUGCAUGAAUUUUUACUAGCAGGGACGUUUAAGAAUAUUUUUGUANCUUCCAUUCUCAUCUUCAAUAAACUGAAUCUCAUUACUACGCUUCCUCCCGUUGGCCACUGCAUGGAAAAACUUUGUGUUGCUGUCUCCUUCCUUUAGCCAGUGCUGUUUAGCUCUCGUUUUCCACAGGAUUUCCUCCUCCUUUAGUAUGAGUUGGAGCUGCGCUUUAAGGUCUGCUCUUUUAUCCUGUACAUUCUGAGUCAAGGUCAUCUGUUCCUCUAAUAUCGAUGCACCGAAUUUCAUCCUGUAAAGAUCUUAUCGCGUUGGAUAUACUAUGAAAUUUAGUUUUGCACCAUUCCUUUAUCCUGUUUCUGCAAUGUCUCAGCUUCGCCGUUAACGUGAGGAUGGCUGACCUUUGACCGGGUACUUCGUUCCACCAGAUCGGUACAUAACUUGUGAAGUCCGCCCUAGUAAGCCAUACUCUCUCAAACCGAAACCUCCUGUGAGUGCGAAAAUUACCAAUAUCGAGUAUUAAAGGGGUGUGAUCGGAGGUAAUUCUAGGUAGCGCUAAUACCCUGCAAUGCGGAAAAACUUGGUCCCAAUCCGUCGAGACAAGAAAUCUAUCCAGUUUGGCCAGGGUAGGUGAUCGUUGCAUGUUAGACCAGGUAAAUUUUUGGUUGGAAAUAGGCAGGUCGAUGACUUCAAGAUUUGAGAUGAGGUCCGAGAACAUUGACAUCGCUUUCCUACUCGACCGGUUCCCGGUGCGUUCUGCCUGGCUUCUAGUAAAGUUAAAAUCCCCACAAAUAGCCCAUUUACAGUUGGAGCAAACCGAACCGAGGGCGAGGAGCUCGGCACAGAACUCUUCUUUUCCGUCCCAAGAUGGCGGCCCAUAUACAUUUGAUAAGUAAAAGCUCGUAUCACUGGUAAUGUGUUUCAAGUUGAGGGUGAGCGAGUGGUUGCACACCAACGCCUCCGUACAAACGAAAAACUUGGAGUUCCAACAUGUGAAAAGCCCGCCCGAUGCUCCCAGAGCGGGGAUAAAGUGACAUCUGUCGAAACUCGAGCCACAACAAGACCGAAGAAAGGAACGAGACACCGAAUCCACUUUAGAUUCUUGAAUACAAACCACCGAACAAAAGUGUUUGGAGAUAAUAGAUCUGACACUACGACGCUUACAAGGGUCGUUCAGACCGCGUACAUUCCAAGUAAUAAUAUUAAACAUAACUAAAACAACACACACCCAAAAAGCGGCCCAAACUCAUAGCUAGACCCACAGCAGAUCAACCACGCGUCAUAAACUUGUGGAGCUCCUCGGCUUCAACCCCCGUAAGCUUCACUCCACAAAGCGCACUUUUCUUCAAGACCUUUCUAAUAUUUCGUGAGCAUUCCGCGUAGGUUGCCCCCGAGUUCUCCCCUUCCAGUAGGAAUGCCUUCCUCUGUUUCGCCCGAUCAAGCGCCGACAAGGUACCUGUAGACUUCAGCCUCACGCUAGCUCUGGUUGACCCACGACACACGACGCCGGCUACCUCACCGGUCAAGGGGACCGUAUCGGGGAUCAAAGUGGUAACCCCUGACACUGUCCCCACCGGCGACCAGACGACCAUGGUGUCGGGCUUCAAAAUAACCUCACCAGCCAGAGAUCCGUGUAUCUUCUCCGCAGCGGCCAAGUGGGGAUCGAUGCUAACAGUGCUGUAGGUGGGGAUGUGCCCCGGUGCACGGUCCCAACUUGCCGACCCACGAAUGUCAGCCGUCACGUUCGAGUCGAACUCCAGUCCACUCGGCGGCCGAACGAAGACAACACCAUUCAAGACCGGCUCCCCCCCACAGCCUCCAGCCGUCGUUUCCGAGGGUAAAGUGGGGCAAAGGGGGCUUGGGUGAGUACCAGUAGUAAGGGGCCCGGAGAUCGAGUCAAACUCCAGUCCACCUGGCGGCCGGAUGGAGACGUCGCCGUGCAAGACCGGCUCCCUACCACCACCGCCUCCCGCUGUCGUGUCCAGGAGUAACGGGGGGGCGAAGGGGGCCCGGGCCAUUAACCGUGGCGUUGUCGUGUCCAGGAGUAACGGGGGGCCAAGGGGGCCCGGGCCAGUAACCGUGGUGAGGGGACCCGAGAGCAGCGGAGUGGUGCGGGGGCCCGAGAGCAGCGGAUUGGUGCGGGGGCCCGAGAGCAGCGGGGCUUCAACUAAAGAGAUAUGAAGCGCCCCCCCUGGUCCUGCAAUAGUGAUACCAGCAGGCCCCCACCGCAGCAGAAAACGAACUCCAGCUCCGUGUGGGCCAAGUCGACCCCACCCCGCUGCCGCUAGCGUGACCCACGGACUAGGUUCAUUCCCGGGCCCGUCUCCAACCCCGAGCCCAUCUGGAUCCGGUGCUGUGAGGGCCGUCUGCAUUCCCCUCCCCUCGAUAAAAUAAGAGGCCCGCGAAACAGGGCCGGGCCCGAAAGCCCCUGCUCUAUGCGGCUUCAGCAUGUCCCUUCCCUUAAACAAGUAAGUGGCCUGCGCAACAGGGCCGAGCCCUAUGCCAAGGGAUUCCGGGGUCAAGUGGGCCCGUAUCAUGCCAAAGUAGUCAGCCAUCCCCUGCCCGGUACUCGAGGUGGAUGAGGCGAUCACAGGAAUCAAGCUUGCCCACCUUUUCCAGAUACAGUAAUAAAUGCCCAGAUUCGUCUUUGCAGGACCCUUAAGCUCCGAACACGGAGCGUUGACAAAAAUUGUUCCUGUUGCCUCCGAAAACCCCCCGCCUGCCGCCCCGUCAGGUAUCCCAUUUAAUGCCACGUCAACCUCAGGCAAUUUCGAAAUCCAGACCGUUGGGCCACUCACUCCGACAAUCGCCGGGCCCUUCGUGGUCGUUUCCUCCUGACCCUGCCGUAGGGAGUCGGCCGGAGUUGAAGCAGAGUUCCAAACUAGCGAAGCGUCCGGAGCGAGGACAUCUCUCCUUCUAUCCCGAAUUUCUGACGAAUUCCAAGAGGCGUCCGAACUUGAAGAACCGGCGGCCGACGAGCGUCGCCCUCUUAUAGAUCCGGCCGAGCGACGAUGAUAUUCUGGGCCUCUCUGUGAAGGGUCGUGAUGAUCGGUCCGUUCGUUAGGAGGGUUGCGAGGAUCGAUGACAUCGCAACGGCCCCAUCUCUCGAGCUGGAUGAGCACCGAGAGCGAGUGAUCGCCUACCGUGAUUUCCAGGUUUUCUGGGAUGUCGGAGAGAAAGUUGACAGAGAUGAGACAUCGGUAUCCAGUGAGAUCCACCAUGCGUGACGAGAAGUCGUCCGCCCGUAUGAAGCGACCGAAUCCGCCGACCAACGCCGCCACCGUACGAGAGGACCAACACUCGUAUGGUAAACAUACAAGCCGGAUCCAAACGUUGUACGUGAGCGAAGCCCUUCGAAGCCCGUGAUAGGGAUUCCAGGGGAAGCAGUGUAAUCUCAGGUUGUCCAACGAAAGUAUCUCUCUUCGGAUCAGUAGGUCGGCCGGCACCCACUCCGGGAGGAAGAUCAGAAAGUCACGUUGACUGAACUUGGCUACGUGGAAAUCAGUCGGGAAGCCGCCAAAACGACUCGCCAUCUUGUUCGCAAUUGUCUCCUGAGGGAAAUGACCCAAGUUCUUGGGGGGAAGCACGUCAACCAGAAUCGCGUUGCGGCAGCGAUUCUGCCUGGUGUAGAAAUCUUCUGUCUGUGGUACAAACGCGCUGAGGUAGGACGGUCGGGCCCUCAUCUCCCUGUAAACCGCCAUUGGUAGCCGGUCCAUGCAGGCUCGUGCGACGUGGCCCGUCUUGAAGCACCGCACACACCGGAGCGGCGCUCGACAGCUAGCUGCCCGAUGGUUAGAGCCCAGGCACCUAAAACACUUCCCUUUGAAGAAAGAUUUGGGCGGUGUUUUGAAGACGGGGUUGAAGUUGGUGCUCUGACCACUGCAAGGGGCUCGUAGCGGUUUAUGUGUGGGAGAUAGAAGAGCAUCCUUAUACGUCUUGUAUGAACCUGAAGUGAAGGAGGGUAACUUCUUUCCGAAUCCCGUGUCAGAUCUCCCUCUGUUGUAAAUCGUCGACGUGUCAGUAGAUCGUGGAAUGGGUGUGGGGUCGCCAGGAGAACCAAGCGCUUUGUGAGUUAAUGCAAGCCCCACUUCGUCAGCCCACACCACCUUCUUGCUAGAUGCAGAGCCUCCUUCAAACCUUUGAAGGCCAGGGUAGUUGCCCUCUUUAACGCUAGAUUUCUUAAUUAUCACCGUUGAUCUCUCAGUCCAUCCUUGAGAAUGACCACUGGCCUCUAUAGCUGCAGGGGUAGCCGGCGACGACGAAGCGGCGAGUCUCUCGCGAGAACCCGUCACCUUACACCAAUGUGUAGAACAGGUAAGACCUCCUAUCUUCUCGAACUCUGUCUUCUUAUCCAAGCUCCGAUCUGUUACUCGAGCUUUGCCUUUUUCCUCUUCCUUACUAGCAAUCCGAUCUAAAACACGAGCUUUGCCUUUUAUCUCUUUCUCACCCGUCUUCUCCUUUUUCCGUUCACCACCAUCUUCCUCACCAGCUCUCACUUUUUCAUUAGCAGCCAAGAACUUGGUGGAGACUUUGCGGAGCUUGCCGAGGACUUUCGUGUGGGGCUCCGCCACCAUCUUCCCUUUUCCUCUAUUUACUUCUUAGACAAGUAAAAUAUAUAUGGAUGUUAUCAAUGUGAUUAGAUGGUUUUAUGUAAGAAGGAAAUAUUUCUUCAUUCUCCCGUGUAAUACUAAUAAUAAUAAUAACCAUAAUACUUAAUUAGGUGAUAAUGGGCGAGAUAACUUGAUUAAUCAAGUAGUGUAUAUAAAUGAAAACACCUCUUAGGCCCUUUUUUUUUUUAUUGUUUUAACCACACAAAUAAUUUAUACUAAUUAUAUCAUCUCUAACAAUAUAAUGACUUAAAAAAAAAAAAAACAACUUUUUGGUAUUACUGGUAUUAUUAUCUUACUAUAAUAAAAUAAACAAACAUUUCUCCACAAUGUCCAAAUAAAAGAAAAAAAAAAGAAGAUAUGUACAUAUUAAAAAAAAAAAAAUCAUAUUAGAUAGAUCAAACAGAACGAAAAAGAUAUGCACAUAUUAAAGAAGUAUAUUAAUAUUAAACCCAAAUAAGUCCAAAUAAUAAGGAUGGUCAAAGAAAAUAUUGAAAAUGUCACAAGAAGCAUAUGGAUGGAAAAUCCCCUUUGUGGGUACAAAUUUUUCCCAACCUAACUCUCACAUAUAUAUGGUGGAGAUCAUUUCGUGUGCACUCUUUCUCUCUCCGUAGUCUCCUUACACUGUUCGAGAACGAAGGAGUAGUACUUCUGGGAGGGAGAGCUCCCCACCGCUCCAUCUCCUUCCUCCUCCCUUCUACGACGAUCUCAUCGGUUUAUCUCUUCGAUCGGCGCGUCUGUAAGCGAUUUCUGUGGUUUUUCCCCCUUUUUUUUUCAUCUCGGAAUCUCUAAUUCGUCCCCCUUUUGAUCCUGUGGCCACUUUUUCCUGCUAAAGUCGCCGUUUUGGCAUCUGGGUUGGGCUUGCUUCCCGAUUCUGUGAUUUGGGUCUGCGUCAGAACUUCACAAAAUUGAUGGGUUUUGCGGUUUGGGAAUUGGGCGUUUCGUGGGAUUUGGAUGAUUCUUGAGUGGGAGUUAAGAUUGAUGUGCUUGAUGUAUAGAAACCGACAAGGCUAUGCUUGAAUUGAGGUUUGUAGCCACACAUUUGUGUUGGUGAAGUGACCAGUCACUUGUAGAAAUGGAGCAUUGACAUGUAAUCAGAACAGUAGAUUACGAUAGUUGAAGAUGAUAUUAUGAACCGCAUAUCCAAACAAUCUCGAUUUUCAUCUUCUCAGUUGCAGACAAUGCGUAGAUGUUUUUCUACAUAACUCUUCUUGUAAUAAGUUAUUUUGUAAUCAACUUUUUGGCGCACCUCUGAUGUUUCGGCACAUAUCUUAAUCUUCUAUAUUACCAUGUGCUUACUGCAUUAAUAUGCAUUUCUAGCUCAGGCAUGCUUGUACUUGUUGCUUGCAUCUACAGGUGCUAGCUCCAUUCAUGAAAUAUGGCUGGCAAUACGUCGGCCCUUAUACGGUGUCGCAAAUUGAUUAGAGUACCUCCUUAGCGGUACAACUCUGCAGGGAUAAAUGGCUCGGAAAGGAGGCCAACACAAGAAUGGACUGCAUCGCAAUGUACCUAGCCAAAAAGGCAAAGCUUCAGAACCAUUAUCAAAACAGAAGCCAAAGACGCAUGAAAGAAAGAUCGUUGAUACAGAACCUCUAGUUUCUGAUCAUGGAGCGGGAGGUUUUGUGGAAAACGACAUAGUUUCAGAUGUUUCCACAUCAAGAGGGGAUGACGAGAUAGACUUUUCUUUCGAUCACAAUCAAAAUGAAGAAGAAAACUUGAUGGACCAAAAUGGGUCUUCAUAUGCAGUGGCUUCUCAAAGGUUAAGAGCUUUUCUGCUUUAUCUCAUGAAAAAUGUAAAUGGAUGGAUAGAACGGCAGAGACCAUAUUUCUCAGCUUUUACAACCAUUUUAUGUAAGGGCUGUACGUAUGUCCGCAAGAAAUUCGAGCAUGUUCACCCUGUUAUUUGGACGUGGAUGUUGUACUUUGGAAAAUUGGUGCUGCUUAUAUCUAUGGUUUGGCUCGACUGCAGUAUAAGAGGUCUCGAUUCUUUACUGCGAAUGGGAACAACAUCCUUCUUUACAGUGCUUUGGUGCAGCUUCCUCUCAGUUUCUGCGAUGAUUGGAUUUGUUAAAAUGCUUGUAGUCAUGGUUAGUUAAACUGCGCAAAGUUGUUAAAUCUCUGAUUCAAAUAUAUACCUCUGUUAUUACCUUGUCAAUCGAAAGUUUUAGUUCUUACUAAAGUUAUCUUUGGUUCAGGUAAUUGCUGCCUUGGUGGCUGCAUUCAUUGGUCUAGGGCUUGCAAUCAUGUUAACUUCUAUUAUUGCAAUAACAGUCUUGUGGAUAUAUGGAAGCUUCUGGACAACAGCCCUUGUCAUCCUUCUAGGAGGUUCAUAUUUUACAUAUUUUUUUUAAAAAAAGUGUUAUUUUCUAUAAAUUAUACAUCCAUGAAACAUCCUUCACCUUUUAACUUUUAUGUAUUUCUUUCAAGCAUUAACAGAAUUUAGCCUGUCCUCUAAAAUGCAGGUGCUUCCUUUGCAUUGAGUCAUGAACGAAUUGCUCUUCUCGUGACCACUCUCUAUUCCAUGUAUUGUGCAAGAGGCUACUUGGGAUGGCUUGGCUUAAUUAUGGGCCUCAACUUGUCUUUCAUUUCGAGUGAUGUUCUAGUACACUUCCUAAAGAACUACAUAAAUGAGCAAAAACCUAGUGAGCAGGGAGAGCCACAUAAUGAAAAUCAAGGUGGAGAAGGUCAUUUCUAUGCAGAACCCUUUCAUUCUUCGCAAGAAGCCGAUCGCAGUGCUGGUGUUCCUUCAACUAGUGGAAGCGAGAAAGAGUUGACAUCUGAAGAGGAAGUUGUUCGAUUGUUGAACUGUACGGAUCACUAUUCGGCUUUAGGAUUGCCUCGUUAUGAGAAUAUAGAUGUUUCUUUACUCAAAAAGGAAUACAAAAGAAAGGUAAUAGCUAAAAUAAUCUCUAGUUGUUGAUUUCUAAAGCCUUAUAUUUUACUAUAUAAUUAGCAUAAGCGCUUGAGAUAUUUACAUAUGUACUCCUGCAAAAUUAUCUACUUCGGAUGACUACCCAACUCCAUAUAAUAUAUAACAACCUGCAUUAUCCAGGGGUGUAUACGAAGAUUCAGAUUUACAGUGUUAUAUAUAGAACUAAAUAAUAUGCUGGGAUAUAUGUAAAAGAUAAGCACUUUUUAAUUUGUAAUUAUAGUUGCAAUUUACUUUUCUAGGCAAUGCUUGUGCAUCCUGAUAAGAAUAUGGGCAAUGAGAAAGCUGCUGAAGCAUUCAAGAAGCUUCAAAAUGCAUAUGAGGUAAGUUUUGACGAUUCCUUUGUCUUGUAUGCACUCUGAAUCAAAUCAGCACUUCAGAUUUGUAUAUUUUUCUAUGUUAUCUCUUAUUGCAGUUUAAAUCUUUAUUUCAGGUUCUUCUAGAUUCUCUGAAACGGAAAAUGUAUGAUGAUGAACUGCGGAGAGAAGAGCUAAUAAACUAUUUCCGGAGGUUUCAGAAUGCUUCUCAGAAGGUCUUUCUCUAAUUUCUUUGAUUGGUUUUUGACUAAUUUAUAAAGUCAAGUUUUUAGCCUCAACAGAGUUUAGUUGAAUUCAUAUUUAAAGUGCCAUAUGUUAUGUGCAAAACAUGAGAAUAACACAUGUAAAUCGCAUAUCUUUCUUAGGAAAUUCCAGCCCCUAAAGUCUUGUUGAAGAAUGCCUACACUAGAACACUAUAAAACAUUAUAGUUGAAUCCAUCUAUAGUUGAAUCCAUCUAUCUGAUAUGAAUGUUUUGGCUUUAGUUCUCGAUCGACAUUCAUGAAAUCUUUACUAAAUUAGGCCUGCAUAUAGUACAGAUAUAUUGAUAAUAUUAUAUAUGUCGUCCGUCAUUAUAAUGUGCACCAUAUAUAUACAUAUACAUACAUACAUACACACACACACACACACACACACACACACACACACACACACACACACACAUAUAUAUAUAUAUAUAUAUAU